UUUAGUUGGGUAUACUCCUUAUGCCAAUCCUCACAUGAUCAUUUCCAACUCUUGGUCUCAAACAUGAUAUCUUAUUUAAUGUUUAGUUAAGUUUGACCAUUGUUUAACAAUUGGAUAUACAUAAUCCCAUCGCACCUACAUAUAGAACGUGCACUCGAGUAGGGAAACUACAUUAUCUGAUACUAGUCUUGAUGAGUGUUAAAACUUGGAAAGCAUAAACUUAAUAUUUAAUUUGAGGGAAUUUGCAAUUAUUCUGAUCUCACCGGCUUAUUUAUCAUAAAUCGUCUCUCACAUGCAUCAACAUACAUUCACAUGCAUCAACAUACAUACAUAAUGAAACAGUUAUGGCCCCUAGCGCAAUUGUUCUCCCAAGCCAAUGAGAGAUCCUAAGCUAACCUAAUAACGAUCUAAGCUUUUCCAAGCAAGAUCUUCAAGGUUGUCCUCCUUUGAUAUUGAAUUCUUCUCUUUCUUCAUAACUUUACUUUACAUAAAAGAAACUCGUUUUACAUAUGAGGGAGUGAGAUGAGAAAAGAAGUUACAUUAAGAGAUUAAAAGAGAGGCACGAUCACCACAAAACAAAAUAAAGGAAAACUAAGGCCAUAACCGAUCACCACAAGACAAUAAUAAUAAACACAUUAUUAUUAUUAUUAUUAAUUUUAAUUCUUUUAAUUAAUUAAAACCAAAUUAAAUUUCGGCGACCGAUCACACUACGCAGAGUUAGCCGGGGGUCCACAAGUAUCACAUUGUAUUAAUCAUUAAUAUGGCGUAUUUACAAUGACNCGAUCACCACAAGACAAUAAUAAUAAACACAUUAUUAUUAUUAUUAUUAAUUUUAAUUCUUUUAAUUAAUUAAAACCAAAUUAAAUUUCGGCGACCGAUCACACUACGCAGAGUUAGCCGGGGGUCCACAAGUAUCACAUUGUAUUAAUCAUUAAUAUGGCGUAUUUACAAUGACCGUAAUCGAAAUAAAAUAAAUGGAAAUAAUAAAUACAAAAAAUAAAAUUGUAAAUGAAUUAAAUAGAAAGAACUACAUGUUACAAAAUCUACAAAGAAAUAGCAAUUUAAAUGGGUAAAAAAGUGUAAAAGAAAAAAAGAAGUUUAAAAAAUGGAAAAAAUGCAACAAAAAAAGAAGAGAAAUGGGUGUCGUAAGGUGGUAAAUUUAGGACAUGAGGGUGGAAUGUUGAGCCUCAACCAGUCCCCCUUGCUCCUAUAUUUAUCAAGAAAAUACAAUAAUAAAUAUAUAUAAGAGAAACAUUGGAAAUGGAAAAGAAAGAAGAAAAAAUAAAAUACAAAAUAAGAAGAGAAAGAGGGUGGUAGAGUUAGAACACAAGACAUUGGGGAGGGAGGCGUGAAGCUUCAACCAAUCCCUCAUGUCACUCAACCUGUCAACUAAUGAAAGUUAAUUAUUGUCAUACCCCAAUUUUGUCCGGGCAUAUUUAAAACUUUCAUAGAAUCAAUUUCUUUUUUAAUUUAACACCAUAUGCAUAGCAUGACAUACAUUUGCAUCAUGAAUAAAUACCUGAAAUGUCAGUCAGAAUGAAUUUAUUUGAGAAUACAGACAAAAUCGGUUGAAUUGUCAAAAAUGGAGGAAAACAGUUUAUUUUUCAAAUAAUGUGUUUGGCAUUGAUAAUUUUGGCAUGAUUGAUUUAGAACAAAUUUGUACUCGAUUUUUGUUUUAAUGGGUCAAUAUUUUUGAAGAAAUUAGAAUGAUAUUUAAUUAAAUAUUAGUUAGAUUUUUUAAAAUAUUAGUUAGUUUAAAUAUUAGUUAGUUUAAAUUAAAUAUUAGUUAGUGUAAAUUAAAUAUUAGUUAGUUUAAAUUAAAUAUUAGUUAGAUUUUUUAAAUAUUAAUUAGUCUAUUUUUAGGAUUUGUUAUUUAAGUAAAUAAUAAUUAUGAAAUAUAUAUAUUGUACAUUGGAUCCUCCAGCCCACUAAAAACAAACUCAUUAAAUCCGUUUCUCUCUUCACUCCAUUCACGUGGCCACCUCAUUCUCCAAAAAGAAUCCCAACGGAUUCCUCACUGACUCCACUCACAUUUCCUAACUCUGACUCUCUCUCGGAAAUAAAAAAAAAAGAAGAAAAAAUAAUAUAUAAAAUCUCUUGACUGUUCACUCCUCACUCUCUCAGAAAUCUCUGAAAAUCUCACUCACCACAAAUUCACAGACUCUCUCACUACAUCCAAAAUCUCACGAAACCCUAGCCGCUUCCAUCUUCAUCUCCAAUCACCUCCACCGCUCAAAAUCGCCGCCACACAACUACACGCGACCUUCAAUCCUCACUUCAUCAUCCAAACGCCACGGAUUCAACACCACGAAUCGCUUCGUCACCAUCACCUUCAAUCGCGUUUCACCUUCAUCCAAGCCUUCCGUUCCACCUUCACAACAACUCUCAAUCGCCGCCAUCCAUCACCACUUCACGCCGCUUCUCCUCGUCACCGUCCCAAAACCCUCGUUCUCUCCGCCACCCAUUCAACAACCAAACCCCCAAAUCCGUCACCAACCCUCCAUCGCUCAAACCAACAAAAACCCUUUAUCCGCCAUUAACCUCCACAAACGUCGUCACCUUCAACCAUCGGGAACAACCUCUCAAACGCUAGAUCUUUGUUCAUCCGCCGGACAAACCACCGUGGUCACCACCCUUCGAGCGUCACGAACAGGAUCUUUCUACCCUCGAAGGCGACGUUUCUGGGAUUCGUUGCGACAAGCUUUCCUCGGCUCAAGUUGAUGUGCAACCCUGCCGUGGAUUUGCGAGAUUUUCACCGCCUUUGGUUUACAAAAAUGCAAGCGAUGUGCAGCAUAACGCCUCAGAGGGCGAUCCGUUAAUUUCACAACCGCACCAACACACCGACGGUAAGGAUUGGAAAAUAACUUGAUUGAUGCAUCAUUUAAUACUUGAACCUGGUUUCGUGAGCAAUUCGAUUGUAGUAUAGCGCUGUAGAUAUUCAUUGUACGAUUUCGAUCCCAAGUUUGCCACACAUAGCUGUGGAUUUAGACCGUGUUUUAACAAGAAAGUGUCAUUCAUCUUCAUUGUUUGAUUAACAUCAUAUGUAGGUUUGGAUAGCAUUCUGUUUCCAAAAAUUCAUCAGAUAGUUAUUUGUCUAUGAGUAGAUUGUUUAAGGAGACGUUCUGGUUUUGAUUUUGCUGUCAAACUAAUUUCGGUUUCGAUUUUGUUGUCAAUUGAUUUUAUCCUUGGAAGAUUGGGUUUGUUUCUUUCCCCCGAUAUUGGAUGUUUUUCAGCUAGAUCCAUUUAAUCACGUCGCACACCCCACUUGUUGUAAUUUGUUUGUGAUCAUUAAGAUGAUUUCAUAUUGGAUGUAGCAUUUAUAUGUGGUUUUGGUACUGUACAUGCUGAUACUGCACUCAUUUGACACUUUUAUUUAACAUAUAACAUUCUAAAUGUUGGCUCACCUAUAUAGCCAUUGUUGGGAUUUACCUUGUUAAAUUUUGUAUAUACUCAAUGUUAUUUUUAUUUCAUUCAUGUUAUGUACAAGGUUCGAUUAAAUUAAAUGGAUUCAGCAAGCCUAUGCCGACAUUCCACCAAAAUUCCAUAAAUCAAAUGUUACGAGUUAUGAUUUUGCAAAUAAUAUCAACCAUUGUUAUCUCGCCUAAAUUGGUGCCAAGCACAUCUUUAUCAACACGUACCAAUUAAGUCAAUGUUAAUACCCACUCUUUUCCUCUUUUGAAUUAGUUAAGUUUUCAAAAUCUUUAAAUUAGUUUAAUUUCUAUUAAUUAAUUUUAGUUAACCUAAUUAUUUAAAUUAAUUAAAUAAUUUCGAUAAUUAAUUUUAAUUAAUUUAAUUAAUCAAUUUGAACAAAUUUUGAUAAAUUAAUUUUGUUAAAAGAAAUUGAUUAGUUUCUCCCACUCUCACAAACUUCACAUUUCAAACAAAAAAAAUAUAUUUUAUCCAUCAAUUCAAAAUCACUUUCUAUUCAUUUCCAAACCAAGUUCAUUUGAUUCAAACCAAUUUCAAAAAGCACAAAUCACAAUUCUCGAUUUAAUAUCGAGCCCACUUUCAAACACCCUUGUAAGUCGAUUGCUCUUCGCAUCGCCAUCAACCUCUGUAUCGAAUGAGAACCCGAAGGAAUGUUACUUUGGAUGAACCAAUAACUUUAAUCGAGUAGAUGAAAUAAUACACUAAAUAAAAUUCAUUUCAUUUAUAAACAUGAAUUCAAACCUUUUUCCAAACAUUUUCUCUUAAACAUAAAACUUGGGAUGAAAAGGAGAUAGGAAGCGUACGCUUCACUAUUUCUCAAGCACUUGAAUAAUUGGCGUACGCCAUAUUGCGCGAGUUCUUGUCACCCGAUCAAACCUCAUUCAUAAACAUAAAUUCAAACCACUCAAUUUCAAAAGAAUUUUCUCCUUUAGACAUAAAUUUUGGGAUGAAAAGGAGAUAGUAAGCGUACGCUUCACUAUUUCUCAAUUACUCGAAUAAUUGGCGUACGCCAUAUUGCGCGAGUUCUUGUCACCCGAUUAAAUCUUAAAUCGCACAAUUUCAAAUCACAUUUUCUAAAUCAUCUCUACAAAUUCCAAAUCACUUUUAAUUCCAUAUUUCAGAUGAAAAGGAGAAUAGUGAGCAUCCGCUUCAUUAUCUCUCGAUUAUUCAAAUAAUUGGCGUACGCCAUAUUGCUCGAAUCUUCGUCAUCAAAUCAAAACCACAAUCGAAUAAAUCCAAGCCUACCAAAAUUCAAACUACCUUCGCAAUCGAAUACGAUAUCCAAACAUAUCUUUUACAAUUUAAACUUCGGAUGAUAAAAGAUGAGAGGCGUACGCCUCGCCAUCUUUCGAUUAUUUGAAUAAUUGGCGAACGCCAUAUUGCACAAAUUAAUUUAAACUUCGGAUGAUAAAAGAUGAGAGGCGUACGCCUCGCCAUCUUUCGAUUAUUUGAAUAAUUGGCGAACGCCAUAUUGCACAAAUUAUCGACUUCCGACUAAAAUACGCUAAAUAAACUUGGGUAAGGGAAUAAGUGGCGUACGCCUCAUUAUUCUUUGGAUAAGCAAAUAGGGGGCGUACGCCUCACUACCGUGCAUAUUCAACAUCCACAAACAAACUUUCAAAAUAAUUCGAAUGAAAAGGGACUAAAAGGCAGACGCCUUAUUAUUCCUCGAAAGAAUUGGAUAAUUGGUGAACACCACAUUGCUCAAUCUUUCGUCGUUCUUCAAAAACAUCUCCAACAUCAAACCUAACUUCUCGCCCCCGAGCGAUCGAAACCAAUCAAACCCAAACACAUCAAUUUAACUUGUCACCCCCGCGUGACCAAAACCCUUUCAAAAGAACACUGUCAAUUCUUUCUAAUGCGCACAACAAACCAGUGCUAGAGCCUCCCCCGAGAGUAGACAUGCCAGCGUUUAGCCGUUAGAACGCCGACUUACACAGUCGUUCAUCCAAACAAAACACACCAAAUAUUCGUAGUAGCCCGAACUACGAAUGCUCUGAUUUCCUUAUUGCACCAUAAGGAUACGUAGGCAGGAGAUUGCUGUAUCUUCGCGAGCACACUAAUAAAAAACCUCCCGUAGGUGGGCCUGUAGGGCAUCCAUAAGGAGACGUUUGAUUGGUUCAGUGAGAGGUGUCGGGGAUCUGCGCGAUGCACAUCUUAUAUAAAUUAAUACGCGGCUCCAUUUGGUGGCCUUUGCUUUUUGAGCCUUCCUCUUGUUUCUUGAGUGUCCUAUUCAUGUUUUUUUUUUUUUUUUUUUUCCAUAUUAUCAUCCAAUUCUAAUCACUCGAAGCACGCAGAUAACAGUCAAUUAACAGUCAAUAGCAAAUCUCAGACUAGAGGUUUCCGUUGAGUACGAAACGGACGUAAGGGGUGCUAAUACCUAUCCCUUACGUAAUCGACUCCCGAACCCNUCCCAUUUCCCCCUCCUGAGGUCUCAUCCAUAUCUAUCAUCAUUCUAAUCACUCGAAGCACGCAGAUAAACAGUCAAUUAACAGUCAAAUAGCAAAAUCAGACUAAGAGGUUCCGUUGAGUACAACGGACGUAAGGGGUGCUAAUACCUUCCCCUUGCGUAAUCGACUCCCGAACCCGAUAUGGUUGCGACGACCAUUAUUUCUAUUUUUCAAGGUUUUCUCGAUAUUUUCCUAUUCCUUCAUUGGAAUGAAUAAAGUUCGGUGGCGACUCUGUUUCGAACAAACAUUUUUCCGCUCCUAUCGCGAGGGAUCGCAUUAUCAUCAUUUUGAGGUGCGACAAUUAUAUAUAUAAAAAAGAACACGCGUAUAAAUGGAAAAACAAAAUAGAAAAGCAACGCAGUAGCAACAUGUUCUUCCAUGAACAACACACCUGCUCAUCGCUCUCCUCUAUGUUGAGACACAACAAAAAAAGCUCAACAACAAAGAUCAAACCUCUAUUUAAAUAUCCUUAGUUUCUUUCUUAAACACACACACACAAACUCUCUCACAGUUGCACACAUAAAAAACUUGUAAAAUGAGUUCCAAUUGUUCCAAAAGGUUGUGGUCAUGGUGGUUCGUGGUUCAGUCGCGGGUUUUUGUGUUUUAAGGAGGUGAUUUAAUGGUGGUGAGAUAUGGAGUAUUUGUGUUGUUGAGGGGUGAUGGAGAUCAAGGUUUGUGGUGUUUAUGUAGGGAGAGAGAAGGUGAGGAGGAGGUUUCACGGAGGAGUGGAUUGAAGGUGGAAGAAGGUUGUUGUGGUUAAUACUUGUGGGGUGUUCGUGUUUGGAAGAGAAGAGAGUGUUGAUGUGAGGUUUUAAUGUGGUCUUUUUUGGGUGGAUGCGAUUGCAACUUGCUUAUGAAGGAAGUGUGUGUUUAAUGGUGAGUGAGGAGGAGAAUUUAUGUUUUAAUGGGUGUGAUGGUCAUGGUAAUGGAAGAAGAAUGAAGGAGUAAUUCUCAGCUAAAAAAAAUGAUGAGUAAAUAAAGUUAUUGAGUAGUGAAGUAAAUUAUUGUGGUUGAAGAAGUUGAGGGUUGGUCAUGGUUGUGGUGGAGGUAACCCUGUCUUACUCAGGAAGAAGACAAACACUCCAUAUGCUCACACUUGUUCCAUUUAUAAACUUAUUAAUUGGUUAUUUCAACAUGAGAGAGGACUAAUGACUAAAAAGAGAGGGCGAUCCAAAACGCAACGGAAUUUAAAAUUUUCCUUUUAAUGAUCCUUACGAAUGGGCAUGAUCAGUGAUAGAAUCGUUACCUCCUUUGGCGAUCAUGAACGUUGAACGAUGACAACACCUCUACUCAGUCCACACGAACGGAUUCUUCAAUCUCAUGCUAGUUGUUAUGAAUGAAGCUUGAGUGAGAUAGAGAGAGAAACGAAAUUGCAAGUGUGACAAUGCUUCUACACAAGGGUUCUAUUUAUAGAACCACUUGUGUGGGAUGCAAGCUAAAAAGCCCACUCAAGUGUAAUAUGACCCAUAUCUUAUAAUAUGCCAAAAUCACUUAAUCUCGUGGUACCUUACCAUAUUCGUAUUCUACUUAAGUACACCGUACCUUACAAUGUUCUAUAAUUCACUUAAGGUCACCGUACAUUACAGUAUUCCUUAAUUACUCUAUCUCUCAUCAAUCCGUCCUUUGUGUGUGACCCUAUAGGUUUUCACGGCAUUGGCAAUUAUAUUAAAUCACGUAUUAACAAAUAAACAGUGAGCGGUUCUAGCAACACAUCACUGCUACCCAAGACACGAAAAUGUCAUGUGAUCUGACAAAUCCUUCUGUGAUAAUAAUUAUGUGUAUAAUUACCUUUUGCCUUAUGUCUAUUUGAACACAAGGCAUAGACCGUGUCAUCCUUGUCCAGUUCAUAUUGGGCCCAUAGACAUUUAUCCUGUUCACGCAAGAUGGGCAACAUCCAUUUAGGUCACCCAUUGUCCCUUAGCAUGCUUCGUGGAGUACCCAUCAACUGGCUUUAUGGUCAUCCAGUUACGGACAACGUUUGAUCAGCAAUAAGCACUCGACUCUACAUCUAGGAUCCAUGGGGUUUCAGGCCGAAGGGUGGUAUACACCAUUAUCACCAUGAGAAUAACUUAUGACACUUUGCAUAACAUUCUAUAUAGUAUUCUCAUAGCGGGUCAUCCAGUAUAAAUAUUACUCUUAUAUUCAUACCUAUGUUUGAGGCUUGAUAACUCCUUAUCCAUGAUCCAUGAGAUGUGAUCAUCAGUCUAUAAACAUAAUAGUCUUCAUGCUUUAUUUAUCCCACUCACAAUAAAGCUCGACGUACGGAUACUUUAAGAAUAGUGUCCUUAUGUUAUAAUGUGAUCUCAUGAUUAAGUCACACUUGAUACAUUAAACGGACUAUCUAUUCCAGGACUUUAUUAAACAAACAAAUAAAGAAAAAGCCUUUAUUAUUAAUAAAUAUUCGAUACAAGUAACAAAAGUAUUGGCCUCUAGGGCUUACACCAACAAGACAAGGAGGCAAGUGGCACCGUUUUAGUGUGUACUUGAUUUUUUUCCGGAUCCAUCCCUUAUCACACAUUAGCUUAUAACAAGAAUAUUAGGAUUUUCACCUUAUUACAAAAUGGUGUAAAUGCCCUUUUAGAUAUUUUAGAUAAAAGGGGAUUAAAUAAUAAACAAAAUUAAAUCAAACACUUCAAAACAAUCAAAUAAAAUCAAAAUGAAAAUACAACUAAUUCUAAUUAACUAUCUCGAAUGUUUUGACACACAAGAUUAAAAUAAAAGACCUGAAUGAACAAAAAAUGCGCGUAAAAUGCUCGAAAAAAUAAAAUGACUGCAACAUAAUGAUCAGGUGAAAUAAACAUCUCAGAAACAUACAUGUUUUUGUUCAAUUUUAAAUAAAAAAUCCCUGUUAAACGUUCAAGGAUCAAAAUGUGACCAAAAUGUUAGCCGAAAGUAUGUCGAAGCACACAGGCUAUACUACGCAAAACGUAGAUUAAUAAAACUAAUGUCUGCAAGCUCAAUUUGAAAAAUUUUGCCCACUGAUUUGACACACAUUUGAAAAUUGAUUCAACGGGUUUGCAUGGGAAUCCAAAAAUUUAUUUUCGACUGACAUUCUAGGCAUCAUGCGACACGGAAAUGCAUGUUAUGUUAUGCAUAUAUGUAAAUGCUAUGAUAUAUGUAUUGGAUCAGUGAUUCAGGGUCAAAAUCGGGGUGUGACAGUUGCCCUUGGUUGAGUCUUCUUCAACCAGAGAAUAUGAGCAAGACAUUCUUCAUAUGAUCAAAGUCGGAGAUAGUUUAAAUACCAGAAGGCACGAAUUUUGAUCCUGGAAUGCAUAUGAAAUGAUUACGAUAUGCUAUGCAUGGAUGCAAGACUCUCUCUUUUGAUGAUUUUGAUUUAAUCUGCUAGGAUAUGUCAUACAUAAGAUAACCCUAACAUGAUACUUUAUGAUGGAUGCAAAAUGAAACAAAGAUUGUGGGAAUGAUGGAGACAUAUGCGUAAAGGUGACCCACAGAAAAAAAAUGAGGUAGAACUCACUGGGGAUAACAAUUUUGUGGAGGGGAAAGACAAUUGGGGAAUAUACAAGGAGAUUUUUAUCAAUAGGUCGUACGAUGACCUGAAGACACUGUGUUAUACAAAGAGUGUCAAAUAAUAGUUCAAACAUGACCUGACAAUCUUAGGGAACAUACGAAGAAAGUUUUCAACAACAGGUGCCAUACAAUCUCUCUCUCCCCUUGCGUAAUCGACUCCCGAACCCGAAUAUGGUUGCGACGACCAUUAUUCUAUUUUUCAAAGGUUUUCUCGAUAUUUUCCUAUUCCUUCAUUGGAAUGAAUAAAGUUCGGUGGCGACUCUGUUUCGAACAAACAUUUUUCCGCGUCCUAUCGCGAGGGAUCGCAUUAUCAUCAUUUUUGAGGUGCGACAAUUAUAUAUAUAAAAAAGAACACGCGUAUAAAUGGAAAAACAAAAUAGAAAAGCAACGCAGUAGCAACAUGUUCUUCCAUGAACAACACACCUGCUCAUCCUCUUCCUCUAUGUGAGACACAACAAAAAAAGCUCAACAACAAAGAUCAAACCUCUAUUUAAAUAUCCUUAGUUUCUUUCUUAAACACACACACACAAAACUCUCUCACGUUGCACACAUAAAAACUUGUAAAAAAAUGAGUUCCAAUUGUUCCAAAAGGUUGUGGUCAUGGUGGUUCGUGGUUCAGUCGCGUGUUUUUGUGUUUUAAGGAGGUGAUUUAAUGGUGGUGAGAUAUGGAGUAUUUGUGUUGUUGAGGGUGAUGGAGAUCAAGGUUUGUGGUGUUUAUGUAGGGAGAGAGAAGGUGAGGAGGAGGUUUCACGGAGGAGUGGAUUGAAGGGUGGAAGAAGGUUGUUGUUGGUUAAUACUUGUGAGGGUGUUCGUGUUUGGAAGAGAAGAGUGUUGAGUGAGGUUUUAAUGUGGUCUUUUUUGGGUGGAUGCGAUUGCAACUUGCUUAUGAAGGAAGUGUGUUGUUUUAAUGGUGAGUGAGGAGGGAGAAUUUAUGUUUUAAUGGGUGUGAUGGUCAUGGUAAUGGAAGAAGAAUGAAGGAGUAAUUCUCAGCUAAAAAAAAAUGAUGAGUAAAUAAAGUUAUUGAGUAGUGAAGUAAAUUAUUGUGGGUUGAAGAAGUUGAGGGUUGGUCAUGGUUGUGGUGGAGGUAACCCUGUCUUACUCAGGAAGAAGACAAACACUCCAUAUGCCUCACACUUGUUCCAUUUAUAAACUUAUUAAUUGGUUAUUUCAACAUGAGAGAGGGACUAAUGACUAAAGGAGAAGGGCGAUCCAAAACGCAACGGAAUUUAAAAUUUCUCCUUUAAUGAUCCUUACGAAUGGGCAUGAUCAGUGAUAGAAUCGUUACCUCCUUUGGCGAUCAUGAACGUUGAACGAUGACAACACCUCUACUCAGUCCACACGAACGGAUUCCUUCAAUCUCAGUGCUAGUUGUUAUGAAUGAAGGCUUUGAGUGAGAUAGAGAGAGAAACGAAAUUGCAAGUGUGACAAUGCUUCUACACAAGGGUUCUAUUUAUAGAACCACUUGUGUGGGAUGCAAGCUAAAAAGCCCACUCAAGUGUAUAUGACCCAUAUCUUAUAAUAUGCCAAAAUCACUUAAUCUCGUGGUACCUUACCAUAUUUCGUAUUCUACUUAAGUACACCGUACCUUACAAUGUUCUAUAAUUCACUUAAGGUCACCGUACAUUACAGUAUUCCUUAAUUACUCUAUCUCUCAUCAAUCCGUCCUUUGUGUGUGACCCUAUAGGUUUUCACGGCAUUGGCAAUUAUAUUAAAUCACGUAUUUAACAUAAUAAACAGUGAGCAGGUAUCUAGCACACACUCACUGCUACCCAAGACAGAAAAUGUCAUGUGAUCUGACAAAUCCUUCUGUGAUAAUAAUUAUGUGUAUAAUUACCUUUUGCCUUAUGUCUAUAUUGAACACAAGGCAUAGACCGUGUCAUCCUUGUCCAGUUCAAUAUUGGGCAUAGACAUUUAUCCUGUUACGCAAGAUGGGCAAAUUCCAUUUAGGUCACUCAUGUCCUUAGCUGCUUCGUGAGUACCCAUCAACUGUCUUUAUGGUCAUCCAGUUACGGACAACGUUUGAUCAGCAAUAAGGCACUCGACUCUACAUCUAGGAUCCAUGGUGGUUUCAGGCGAAGGGUGGUAUACACCUUAUCACCAUGAGAAUAACUUAUGACACUUUGCAUAACAUUCUAUAUAGUAUUCUCAUAGCGGGUCAAUCCAGUAUAAAUAUUACUCUUAAUAUUCAUACCUUGUUUGAGGCUUGAUAACUCCUUAUCCAUGAUCCAUGAGAUGUGAUCAUCAGUCUAUAAACAUAAUAUCUUCAUGCUUUAAUGUUAUCCCACUCACAAUAAGCUCGACUACGGAUACUUUAGAUAGUGUCCUAUUAAUGUGAUCUCAUGAUUAAGUCACACUUGAUACUUAAACGGACUAUCUAUUCCAGGGACUUUAUUAAACAAACAUAAUAAAGAAAAAGCCUUUUAUUAUUAAUAAAUAAUUCGAUACAAGUACCAAAAGUAUUGGCCUCUAGGGCUUACACCAACAAUGACAAGGAGGCAAGUGGCACCGUUUUAGUGUGUACUUGAUUUUUUUCCGGAUCCAUCCCUUAUCACACAUUAGCUUAUAUACAAGAAUAUUAGGAUUUUCACCUUAUUACAAAUGGUGUAAAAUGCCCUCUUUAGAUAUUUUUUAGAUAAAAGGGGAUUAAAAUUAUAUAAAACAAAUUAAAUCAAACACUUCAAAACAAUCAAAAUAAAAUCAAAAUGAAAAUACAACUAAUUCUAAUUAACUAUCUCGAAUGUUUUGACACAAAGAUAAAAAUAAAAGGACCUAGAAUGAACAAAAAAUGCGCGUAAAAAUGCUCGAAAAAAUAAAAUGACUGCAACAUAAUGAUCAGCGUGAAAUAAACAUCUCAGAAACAUACAUGUUUUUGUUCAAUUUUUAAAUAAAAAAUCCCCUGUUAAAACGUUCAAGCGGAUCAAAAUGUGACCAAAAUGUUAGCCGAAAAGUAUGUCGAAGCACACCAGGCUAUACUACGCAAAACGUAGAUUAAUAAAACUAAUGUCUGCAAGCUCAAUUUGAAAAAAUUUUGCCCACUGAUUUGACACACAUUUGAAAAUUGAUUCAACGGGUUUGCAUGGGAAUCCAAAAAUUUAUUUCGACUGACAUUCUAGGCAUCAUGCGACACGAAAUGCAUGUUAUGUUAUGCAUAUAUGUAAAUGCUAUGAUAUAUGUAUUGGAUCAGUGAUUCAGGGUCAAAAUCGGGGUGUGACAGUUGCCCUUGUUUGAGUUUCUUCAACCAGAGAAUAUGAAGCAAGACAUUCUUCAUAUGAUCAUAGUCGGAGAUAGUUAAAUACCAAGAAGGCACGAAUUUUGAUCCUGAAUGCAUAUGAAAUGAUACGAUAUGCUAUGCAUGGAUGCAAGACUCUCUCUUUUGAUGAUUUUGAUUUAAUCUGCUAGGGAUAUAGUCAUACAUAAGAUAAACCCUAACAUGAUACUUUAUGAUGGAUGCAAAAUGAAACAAAGAUUUGUGGGGAAUGAUGGAGACAUAUGGUAAAGGUGACCCACAGAAAAAAAAUGAGGGUAGAACUCACUGGGGAUAACAAUUUUGGUGGAGGAAAGACAAUUGGGGAAUAUACAAGGAGAUUUUAUCAAUAGGUUCGUACAUGACCUGAAGACACUUGUAUAUUCAAAGAGUUCAAAUAAUAGGUUCAAACAUGACCUGACAAUCUUAGGGAACAUACGAAGAAAGUUUCAACAACAGGUUCAUACAUGACCUGACAAUACUGGGAAAACAUAAAACGAAAGUUUCAACAACAGGUUCAGACAUGACCUGACAACAUUGGAAUUGAAUUUGACAAUUUAAUCAACAAGUUCAUAUAUGACUUGAUAAUGCUGCGGGAUGACUUGAUAAUGCUGGGGGAUGAUCAAAAUGUUCCAUCAACAGGUUCAAAAUGACCGGACAAUAUUGGAAAACAAACAAAUAACGUUUAAUCAACACAUUCAUAUAUGACCUGACGACACAGUAGGAAUAUUCCUGACAAUUAUGGAGGGAAAGGGGAAAUAUCAAUAAAAACGAAUAAAUAACGACAAUGAUAUUGGUCGUCGCAACCAAAUCAGGGUUCGGGAGUCGAUUACGCAAGGGGAAGGUAUUAAUACCCAAAUCAUUAGGUUAAUUUAAUUUAUAAACUAAUUUAACUUUUGAAACAAAUACUUAUAUUAUAAACAUCCCGUUUUUAUGCUUUAUGUUUGGAAUGUAUAUUAAUUUCAAAACAUCGUCAAAACAAUGAUAUUGCUCGUGUUCCAUAAAUGUAUCUACUAGCUUUUUCUCUAUGGCAAGAGAUUGUGUGGUAGAAAACAUGAGACAUGUCUAUAAAUUACAAGAUGUAAGAAUGAAGUAAUGCAACACAACACCAAUCUAAUAGUUAGUUCUUUCUAUUGAUUCAAGCAUUAUGGCUUAUGCUAAGGUCUCUCUUUUGCCUCUCUUCCUGCUUGUCACAUUAGGUAUGUUAUUUAUCUUUACUUCUUUCUACAUUCUAUUAAUUAUUGUUUUUGAGAAAAAUAACAAAAAAUACAGUUUGGAUAUAAAAAAUAGAGUUAAAAUUCUAUAUAUACAUACAAACAUGUGUCUGUAUUGUUGCGUAUAUGUUAACUUUAUGAUGACCAUUUGCAGUUUUAAUGUUUUCGAUGAAGAAGGUAGAAGCAGACUGCAGAGGAAAGAGUUGUUUCGCCUUUGGGACAACUUGUAGUGGAAGUUGUAGUUCCGUUCUCCUUGGCCACACGGUGGCUUGCUUAGAAUUAUCAUAUGUUAGGAAGAUGGUGGAGCAACAUCCUCACAUAUGUGAGUCUCAUGUAGACUGCACAAGAAAGGGAAGUGGGAACUUUUGCGCAAUCUAUCCAAAUUUAGAUACGAAAUAUGGUUGGUGUUUUGAUUCUAACUCUCAUGCUGAAGCCUCAUUCAAGAAUCUCCUUAGCUCUCAAUUCUCAAACUUGUUGAAUAUGCCCUCAGCAAUUUCCACUUAAUGUGUACAACAAUAAUCAUUCAUGCAUGCAUGAUCUCUCUACUUAAAUAAAAUUUCCAACUAUGUUUGGAUUUCUUAGACACUUAAAUUUAAAAAAUAACAUAUGCAUGUGUGUGGUUAUGUACGUUGUUAUUUAUAUUUUAUCUUUGCAUGAAUAAUGCAAUCUAUAGGCUCCAUGUAUGUUUUCAUGAAUCUUUUAAUGAGAGUAUUGGAGUUUGAUUUGCAUAUCUUAUUUAUCCAUGGACAUUGGUUGGUCCAUUUUGUGCCAAAGUUCACUCCAAACUAUUUUAAUUUGAUUUGCAUAUCUAUUUAGGACUCACAUUCUUCUCAAUCCCAAAACCCGUGAUUGGAUAUUAUAACUCAAUAAUCAAUGUUGAUUACUACCACUCAACUAUAGACAAACCUUCUAUACGAACUUACUGAAAUAUUGAUGUGUACAUAAAAAUGUUCAAUUUACAACUCGAUUAGACAAAACUACAAUUGUGCCAAGUUACUGAAACAUAGUGUGGUGUACAUAAAACAAUAAUAAGGAAUAAAAAUAAACCUUAGCACUCUAAAAUAUUCAAUGUAUUACUUGGGUUCCAAUGUAGGUUUUGAGCUCAUUAUAUAGCAUAAUAAUUUUGGACUUUUCCUUAUGGAUUUGUAUUUGAUUUCGUCCAUAACUAAUGCAGAAUACGUUGGAUAUUAUAUGUUCCAUAAAUAUCUCCAAUAAUAUAUGAUUUGUUUCAAUUUUAAAUUCUAAUUUAAUUUUGAAUGAAUAUUUGUCAAGUUGUCAAACAAAACACCUAAUCAUAUUGCUAACAAGCUAUGGGAUCGAAGUUGUGUUUAAGUACGUCUAAUCAUCCUCAGAAGGAUGGUCAGACUGAACAGACGAUACAGACACUGGAAGAUAUGUUGAGAGCUUGUGUACUUGAAAGUGGAGGGAAUUGGAAGAAGCUCUUACCAUUGAUUGAACUUGCUUAUAACAAUAGUUACCAUGUAGGUAUCGGGAUGGCUCCUUAUGAAGCCUUGUAUGGACGGAAGUGUAGGACCCCUCUCUGUUGGAAGGAAGUUAGUGAAGAAAGAAUUUUGGGAUCGGAGAUUAUUCAAGAGACUAUAAAAAAGAUAAGGAUGGUCUGUGAUCAGAUGAAGAAAGCACAAGAUCGCCAAAAGAGCUAUGCAGAUCACAGAAGAAGACCAUUGGAAUUUGAUGAAGGUGAUCACGUAUUCUUAAAGGUGACUCCGAGGUUGAGACUGAAAGGACCGUUUAAGUCACGAAAGCUAAGUUCGAGAUACGUAGGGCCAUACUAGAUUAUAGAGAGGAUUGGAGAAGUAGCUUACAAAUUAGCCUUACCACCUUCUCUAUCAGAAAUGCAUGACAUUUUUCACGUAUCUUAACUUCGAAAGUUCAUUCCAGAUUCUUUUCAGCCGAUUCUUCCAGAUUCAGUAGAAGUAGAAGCAGACCUAACUUCCUAACCUCUACGAAGUCGUAUUGCAGGACGAGAAGUUAAGGUAUAGAGGAAUAAGGAGAUCCCUCUUGCUAAGAUUCAGUGGGAUGAAUCGCAUCCGGGCGAUGCUACUUGGGAGCUAGAGUCAAAAAUGCGAGAAGCUUUCCUCAUCUCUUCCAGGUAACAUUUAAAUUCGAGGACGUAUUUUUAUUUAAGAGGGGAAGGGCGGAAUACCCUUAUUUCCUUAAAUACUCAAACUCCUAUUAAUUGAGAUCAAUUGAGUUCCUAUGUGCUCUAAAAGUUAUUAAUUGGGAUAAAUAGAGUAAAUAGUGACUUCAGGUUGACUUAAUUAAUAUUAAUUGGGACUGACCUUUUAUUAAUUGGGACAUUUUGGUAACACUAAUAAUGGGUCAAUAUCUCUGGUAGAACAAAUAUUACAAGUAAGUGCCACUUGAGAUAUUUGUUACUACCUGUAAUCUUUUCUAACCAUAUGUUUCUUGUGGAAAAUGGUGACCACAUAUUUAUACCUCUUACCACCUAUCCACAUAUGCCAUUUCUUUUUCUCUAUGUAUCAGACAACUAGAGAGAUAGAAGAACAGGAAGCAAGCUAGUGAAGAAGAAGAAGAAAGCUUGGAGAAAUCAAGGGCUUGGAAUCAUCACCAUCAUCUUCAUAUCAUCGUCUCAUCCUCAACAAUUUCUCCUCUUCCAUUUCUGAAGGUGGGUUCUAGUUAGAAACCCUAAGAUUUCUAGAGAUUAGAGUUAUAGAGUCAUAGGUGAAUCAUAAGAAUCCAUGAUAUAUGAUGAAUGUUUUAUCUUGAUUUUGUUGAUUUCCAUGAACAAGUGCUUGAUAUAUCCUUCAUGAUUGUGGUGACUACAUGAUUUGUUGUGGUUGUGGUUAUGAACUUGAAACCCUUGAUAUAUAUGUGUAUAUGAGUAUGUGGUAUGAUACGGUUUGUUGGAAGAAAAAGUGUAUGAUUUGUUAGGAAGGUAACAAGUUAUGUAGGUGGAAAUCCAAGUGAUACAAAAAGAAUUUCUGUGAAAAUGGUAAGGACCAAUCGAUUGGUCCUGGGUGUUUUCUCCAAGUCAAUCAAUUGGUCACACACUAAAAGCUGGAAAAUGUGUGAUUUUACUGAGAACCAAUUGAUUGACACACUCCUCCAAUCGAUUGGCCAAACCUUCUGUUUUGCAUAAAAGGAAAUUUUAGCAGGACCAAUCGAUUGACAGGGGAUUAAAAUCGAUUGCAUAAACUUUCUGCUUUAGAAAAUUGGAAAUUUUUCAUGGGCCAAUCGAUUGACACUGAGGAUCAAUCGAUUGAUCCUUUGUAAACUUUGAAAAACAGCAAUGUGAGAGGAACCAAUCGAUUGGGCUUCCCCAACCAAUUGAUUGACUUAUGCCAAACACUUCAAAAACCCAUUUCUUUGAUGUUCUAAAUGCUUUUUAUCAACCAUUAAUCAACUGUGAUGCUAUGCCUGUAUUGAAUCCAUGUUAAUUGUGAAAAUUACAUAAGGAAACUUGUGACUUAACCUAGGAUUGGUAUUAGGCCAUAAGUUAGGUGUAUAACUUAGAUAACAUUAGAAUACGGUAUUCAUUCGUACGAUGCUUAUGUUUAGGUUGUGGAUGGAUGGUUGCCAUAGUUGAGAAUGAAACGCUUUGUAUGGAACAUGCCAUGUUGUUGCUUGUGUAUUUUGGUGAAUGAGGUCACCUUUUAUUGAUGAAUAUUGUUAUGAUUUGAGGAACCGAUCAUGUUUUCAGAACGUUUUUCCCUUGGUGGUGCACAUCUCUAUUUGAUAUGCUUAGCUGAGUAAGAAAUAGGAUGUGAGACCGAUGAUUCGUGCCUCAAUUGGGUCUGAGCCCCAACCACGGCGGACUUGGGGGAAAGAUGGACACCUAAGUGGGUUAGAGUCACAUACGGUGAAAGAUACCCUAAGUGGGUUAGAGUCUCAUACGAGUGACGGUCGUUUGAAAUGAGUUUGGAACUCAUAGAGGACCCGAUAUCCACCGCGAAAGUCGAAUCAUACGAGCAUGCAUGAACCGGGCUUGCCCUAGGCGUAGGUCCGCCCGGGGAUUGAUGUUUCGUGAGUCUGAAUAAUGAUCUUGUUUGACUUGCGAGAACUCAGGUGCAUGUUGCCAUACAUUGCGAGUUAGUUCCCCAUCGCUUAAGUCUUCUUUCCCUUGUUGACUUGAGUUUGAUUUUGAUUAGAAAUCUCUCUAGAGCCGAGUGGACCUAUAAGAUAGGGAACCCACUGAGAUUAUUAUCUCACUCCAUGUUGUUGAUUAUUUUUCAGGUGGUUCUGAGCAGGCGGAGGGUAAGGACAAGAUAGAGUGAUGUCUUGCUUACCUAAUGUGUGGUUGGCUACUCCGCUGUGUAUAUAUUUUUGAGAUCAUUGUAUAAUAAUCUAGCUCCUAAUUUUUAUUUUGGGCACUUUUGUGUAUGUUUUGUGCCAUGUUUUGUGCCAUGUUUUAUUUCUUUUGGGCAUGUAAAUAUGUACACUGUUGCCGCUAGGCGCUUAUGUAUUUCAGUACCAGUAUUACACUAUGUAUAAUAUGUACUCUAGACAUGUAUUAUAUAUGGGUGUUACAGAAUAUUUUUGGAAUGAUUUCAUUUUACCUAAUUUUAUCUAUUUCUUAAAGACUAAGCCAAUGAAUCUAGAUGUGCUCAUGGCUUUGUGAAUAAAUUGAAUAAAAAUAAAUUUUGAUAAUAAAAAAUAACGUGUUAAAUAUAAUAAUAAAAAAGAUUUUAAUUUUUUUAUACUAAGUUUUUUAUUUUUUUAGAUUAAAAUAUAAAAAAUGAAUAUUAUAAUAAUUAUUAAAAAUAAAAUUAUAAAAUAAUAAAAAAAAUCAAAAAUAUACAAAUAAAAAUAAUAAAGUGCAAUUUUAAUUAUAAAAUAAAACCUUAAAAUGAGAAAAACCUCUAAAAGUUGGGGAGUGAGAUUCAAACUGAAGACAUCUCCCUUGAAGCUCCUUUCACAUGCUCUUUUAUCAAUUGUGUCAUUUCAUUUAUUCGAAAUAAAGUGACACUAAAAAAAAAUAUGAAGGGUGGUAAAAUUUGGGGUACGACAGUUUUCGUUGGACCUUUGUCGGCUCUUAGUACUAUUCCAGAUUUUGCUGUGAUAUUUUACACCGGGUUCAAAAUACUUUGCUAAGUCUUAUGAUUUUUUUAAACUGAAUUACUAUGCUAUGUUUUGGAUUUAAAUUUCAUUAUUGGAAUAAAACUUGAAUGUUUUGUCAAUGUGAAACUUUUAUUUCAUCUUAAUGUUUUCCCCAAUAUUUUAUAAAUUAUUAUUGAGGAUUAGGGUGUUACAACCACCACUCUUUCAAUGUUCACACUUUUAAAACACUAAGCUCGUGUAACCGUUUACGAAAAAUAUUAUAAAAUUGUUAUUAUAAUAGUUUCAGUUGUCAAAAUUUAUAAAAAACUGAAUAACAGAUAAUCGGUUACCAUAUUCAUGUAACCAAUUACCAUUUUAUUAAAAGUGAAAAAUGUAAUUUUUUUAAAGGUUUUACAUUCAUGGGUUUUAAGCAUAAUCAUUUAAGAAACUUGUAGAAGAAAUAUGAGGUGAAUUUAUAAGCAUAUAAAGUAUUAUAUCAUGAGUUUUAAUGAGCCUUAAUCAUAAUCCAUUUGCUUGAUUCGUAUCUUGAUUAGCUUCAUAAUUCCAUGCAUUUAUCAUUUGCAUCUAAACUAUUGGGUCAUUCUUUAAUACCGAACCUAUAUAAAUCUUCGAUGUUAUCUCUCUUCCCUAAACUCUUUUAUUUUCUGUCUGAUUUCUAUUGCAUUUUCAAAUGUUUUUAUUAAAAUGUUUUCCAACUCUUUUUUAGAAGAUGAAUUUUUUUAAACAAUCGCUUUUAAAACCUCCAAAAAUCUCUCUGCUCCAUCUUGUGUAUGGAGUUACAUGUUAACAAGUCACAUAAUAGCCUAACUCCUAUGUAAAGAAAAAUCGUCUCAUAAGGAAGAUGACCUCCAAAACUAUUUACAUAACAGAACUUUCCUAAACAUGCCUCAACCUUUGAUGAAAAUCAAUUCUUUUAUGUUCAUAAUUGUUAAUCCGCCAAGGAUAAACGUGACACUCUAGAAAUGAUAUAUGCUUCAAAAUAUACGAGGCAAAGAAACGAAUUCCUCAUUCAUAAAUUCCUCUCAAAAUUUAGAAAUGUUGAAAAUAUUGUUAGAACCUUUGCCACUAACAAAUAUCUUAGAAUUAAGAAUCAGAUUAGAAACUUGAUUCUAUCCUUAAACUGAGAGAUGAAAAGAUUUAUGAUUUUAAUGAAAAAUCCAAAAAGGAAGAAAUCACCAAGAAGUUGAAUUAAUUAAUUCAAAUGUUAAAGGAUGAAAUCAUGAUCUCAAUUCUAGAAGAAUCUCUAGCAAGUACAUCAAAGAACACUAGGGAAGAUGGAUAAACCCCUAUAAUCUCCUUCGAAAUAACAAUUUUGUUGGUUGAACAAUCAUCGUAAUAUUUAGCAUUAAAUGAAGAAACUUCAACAAGAAGAUAAUGUGAAGAAGUCCCAUAUAGUUAAAUAUUCGAGAGAAUAAAGGAGAACAAAGUCUCAAACACACAAUACAUUUGUAGAGUCAACCUCAAGGAGAAACCUCGAAGAUCAAUCUCUGAUAGAACCUUGGAAGAAUAUUCUUAGAAUAAGGAAGAUGAAGUUUAUUUGAAAUCAUAUCAUGAAGAUGAAGAUGAUGUAACAAGGUUAUCAUACAAGCAGCUGUUUAAGUUAAGCGCACAAUUAAGAGAAGAAAAUGAUAAGAUUAAGAAGAAGAAUUUAUUGACAGAAGAAACGACUAUUUUAUAAACUUCUGCUUUUCAUUUGAAUACAUUUUUGGUCUUUAUACAGACUCAGAAACUUUUGUUAUUCUAGGAAACAUAAUAACUAGUAAAUACUAUUAAUUUGCCCACUGUCUCUUGACCUUCCAAAUCUCUCCAUUAAAUUAACUUAUUAAUAAACCUAUUAAUUAUGACAUUAAAGUUUAUUCAACAAAACUCCUCUGUAAACUUAAAUGUUUCUUCUAUUCAUCAUGCCUAUCAAUUUCUUGCUCUGUCGAAGAUUUCUUUUGAUAGUGGUUUUUGUGAAAAUGUCUGUUGCUUGCGUCCUUACUUGCUACAUGCUUCAAUUUGACAUUUCCUUCCUUCACGUGUUCUCGAUGAAGUGGAAGCGAACAUCAAUGUGUUUGCUCCUUUCAUGGUUUACUGGAUUUUUGCUAACUCAAUUGCUGACCUGUUGUCAAAUUGUAUUAUUGUAGCAUCUUUCUGUUCUAGCUCCAUUUUACUAUCAAUCUUCUGAGCCAUAUUGCAUGACAAACGCACCAGGAUGCUACUACAUAUUCUGCUUCACAUGUCGAAAGAGUUACUAUUGGAUGCUUUUUUAGAAAGCCAAGUGAAUGCAGUAUUUCCCAUGAAGAACACAUAUCCAGAAGUGCUUUUUCGAUCGUCUAUGUUUCCGCACCAAUCACUGUCAGAGUAACCAACCAACUUGUAUUUGUCUGAUUCGAGUAAAAAUAUCCCAAGUGACACUGUUCCUUGGAUGUACCUCAGAAUUCGCUUCAAUGCUUUCCAAUGUGUGUAAACUGGCUCCUCCAUGAAUCGACUUACAAUGCCUACAACUUAAUGAGAUAUCUGGUCUUGUACAUGUGAGGUAGCGAAGACUUCCUACCAAACUUCGAUAUUUUCCUGCUUCGACACGUUCUCCUCCAUCAAAUUUCGACAACUUUGUUCCUUGGUUCCAUUGGCGUCGAAGCCGGAUUACAACUUUCCAAUCUUAUAUCUUUUCAAGAUUUCUUUUGCAUAUUUUUCUUGUGAGAUGAAGAUUCCUGUUUCUUCUUGUCGAACUUCCAGACCAAGAAAGAAUCUCAUCAGGCCUAAUCUGUCAUCUCGGAUUCACGUGUCAUUGUGCCUUUUGAAUUCUUCUAUCAUCUUUAUUCAUUACUCCCAGAAAAAUAAGAAUCAUCGACAUAGAGAACAAGAAGUAAUACAUUCCUUCCAUUUUUUCUUCACAUAGAGGCANNNNNNNNNNNNNNNNNNNNNNNNNCAUAUUAUUAUUCAAGAUCGUCUAUGUUCCGCACCAAUCACUAUCAGGGUAACCAACCAACUUGUAUUUGUCUGAAUUCGCAGUAAAAAUAUCCCAAGUGACACUGUUCCUUGGAUGUACCUCAGAAUUCGCUUCAAUGCUUUCCAAUGUGUGUAAACUGGCUCCUCCAUGAAUCGACUUACAAUGCCUACAACUUAAAUGAGAUAUCUGGUCUUGUACAUGUGAGGUACGAAGAUUCCUACCAAACUUCGAUAUUUUCCUGCUUCGACACGUUCUCCUCCAUCAAAUUUCGACAAACUUUGUUCCCUGUGUUCCAUUGGCGUCGAAGCCGGAUUAAAACUUUCCAUCUUAUAUCUUUUCAAAGAAUUUCUUUUGGCAUAUUUUUCUGUGAGAUGAAGAUUCCUGUUUCUUCUUGUCGAACUCCAGACCAAGAAAGAAUCUCAUCAGGCCAAAUCUGUCAUCUCGGAUUCACGUGUCAUUAUGUGCUUUGAAUUCUUUAUCAUCUAUUCAUUACUUACCCAGAAAAUAAGAAUCAAUCGACAAUAGAGAACAAGAAGUAAUACAUUCCUUCCAUAUUUUCUUCACAUAGAAGGGCAUGUUCGUAGAGCAUUGCUCGAACCCGUUCUCUUGAAGUAUGUGUCGAUACGUGUGUUCCAUGCCCGCGGUGCUUGCUUCAGCCCAUAAGCGCUUUACUCAAAAAUUAUCUCAAGUACCUUCUUCUCUUUCUCCAGCUUUCAUGUACCGAGUGGUUGAUUCAACAUAGACUUCUUUUUCUAGUACACCAUUCAGAAAAGCUAUUUGACAUCCAUUUGAAAUAUUGGCCAGUUGAAUGAGUAGCUUGAGAUACGAGUUAUCGAAUUGUCUCCGUUCUUGCACAGGUGCAAAUACUUCGUCAUAAUCAACUCCUGCUUUCUGUUUGUAUCCCUUCGCACAUGUUCUCGCUUGUAUCGUUCUAUUUCUCUUGAGCGUUCAUCUUUUUCUUGAGAUACCCACUUUAACACCAAUGGGAUUGGACUACCUUUGGCAAAUUCAACUACUUACACCAAGUGUUAUUAUGGAUAAAAUCGCCCUCAUCUCUUCGUCACAUGCAACUUUUCCAACUGCUUGUCUCGUACUGCUACAUAUCAAAAAACUGAUAGAUUUUCAGCAUCUGCCAAUAGAGACAUACAGGUGCAACUUCACGUUAGUCGAAUCCAUACAAAGAUCUUAGCAAACUUCGCAUUUGUGGUUGUGUAGUUAUCUUUCAUAUGUCAAAGAAAUCUUCAAGCUUUUGUCGAAAUACUUUGAUGAAGAUAUCAGACGAACAUAAAUGAUUCAUUACAAACUUCGACAACAGAACUUCUAUCGAACUGUUACCAGUCCCACUUACUGACUUACGCUUAUAAAUAAUCGGAACAGAUCUAACUACUCACCAAUCACCUUCUUCUUAAUGGGAUCAAAUAGCAUUGUAACCUUUUGUUUUCUCAUCAAUAACCAAAAAAAAAAAAAAAAAAAAAAAAAAAAAAAAAAAAAAUAAAAAAAAAAAAAAAAAAAAAAAAAAAAAAAAAUAAAAAAAACGAAAGUAGUAAUUCGGACUUUUGUCUUCAGGUUUCGUUCUUAUCAGAUUAGAAUCUAGAUACGUGUGCACAUAAGCCACACAUUCCAAAUUACUUUGGAAGAUGAGAAACUGUUGGACUUCUGUACCGCUCCAUGCUUCUUGUAGUGUUUAUAUCUUUCUAACUUCGAAUGUGAGGACAUCGAUUAACUGAACAUAAAAAUGGCACAUAUUACAGCAUUCUGACUCCAGAAUUCCUUUGCAUGUUCUUGCACUAUUUAAGACAUUUGAACGCAACCAUAGUCAAAGGACUGUUAUGAUUCUAUCUUUUAAUACAGACCACCCCAUUUUGUUGAGAGAGUAGAGUAUGCUGCAAGUUAUGAAAUCUCCAUAUAAAAUAAACCCUGCCAUCAUUCACAAUACUUCAUAAAGGCUGUCGAGUAAUUACUUCACCACCAUCUAAUCAGAAAAAUCAACAUGCUUUUAAUAGUGUCUGUACGCGUUUCCUUAAACUCCACCAAUUAAACUUUGACCUUUUGAACACCUACGAAAUGCUUACAGACAUUUUCUUUCAAAGAAAAUAAACCCAUGUCUAUCACGCCUGAGUAAAUCAUCGAUAAAGAAAUAAAGUACCUUUUGCUACUGAAAAAAGAUAUCUUGCGCAGUUGAUUGGCCCACUAUAUGUCGGUGUAGAAAUCAAAAUCAAGGAUUCUGCAUUAGCUUUGAUAAAUUCUGCCUUCUUUUUGAAAAUGAAGUUCUUGUUUGUUUGCUAAGCAGCACAUAUUCUUACACAAGAACAUUUCCUUCAUAAUCCAUAUACAUGGAUAGUCACAUGCAACCAUGUUCCUUUCGCCAACCUAUGGAAUAAAAACCAAGCAGUGAUGUAAGAUAGACAAAAAGCAAAGAAUGCCAAUAAUGAACGCUUGUCUAUAUCGACAACUUACAUUGCAAACCAUUAUUUCUCGAACGUUAUAUCAGAUUCAGUUUAGUACAUUCGAUUUCUCUCCAUUAUGAGAACGCAGCAAUCAGAAUUGUCCCAAGCUUGUCCUUCAAAUGCAGUAUCCGUUCUUUUCAUAGUAUCGAAUAAACCUUUUUCUGAGUAAGUUGAUCCAAAAACUACAAUGAUGUGCGUUUUAAAGAUUUAAGGUACAAUAAUAAACAUCUUGAAUUAAGAAUCCAAUCAACCCAUCCAUUCUGCAGUAAACGGAUCGUUCCAAUUGCCUUCGACCAUAAUCACUUUCGAUGAGCAUCUACGAAAGACACAUUAUACCAUCUAAUAACAAAUCUAUUACUCAUUUCUUAUAAACAAAGGGUCUGUGACAACACAUAAUGGUAUAACUUGCUUCCUAGAGGUCAAGAAUUACCAAACAUUGUCAUUUUAGUGAUUAGAAUCUCAUUUUGAGCCAUCAAGAGAAAAACCUUCAAUUGCCUAUCAGCUAUCCAAAAGUUAGAUUGGUUGUUUCUUCUACCUUCUUUUCGAUUCGACAAUCUUUUGCAAGAUGUCCCACUUUAUCACAGUUAUAACAUUUGAAUGAGUUACAAUCCUUCGCAUAAUGACCAUACUUGCCACACUUGUAGCAUUCAAAGUUGGAAUGGUUCGACGUACCACCUCUUUGACCACGUCCUCUGCCACGCCAAUUUUGCUGACUCGACUGUCGUCUCUCGAAGUUGCUGCCUCUACCACUCCGACCACUGUCACGUCCUCCACGACCACGUCCUCUUCCUCGAAAAUUUUGAGAAAAGAGUACCUUUUCGUCUUUGAUUUGCUCCUUGGUUUGAUUUGCGUCAUCUACUCAUUCUUCCUUCUUUUUCAUCUUACGUUGUUCAUGUGCUUCGAGGGAACCAGCGAGCUCUUCGACUGAGAGCGUCGAAAGGUCCUUCGACUCUUCUAUUGCACACACAAUAUUCUCAAAUUUAUCUGUUAACAAUCUCAAAAUCUUUUCGACAACUCGUGCAUCAGUUACUGUUUCGCCAUUUCUGGUGAGUUGGUUCACCACCUUUUGUACACGCGUGAUGUAGUCAGAUGCAUUUUCUGACUCUUUCAUCUGCAUCCUCUCCAAUUCGCCAUGAAGUGUUUGGAGUCGAACUUGCUUUACUCGAUCUGCUCCUUUGAACACUUUCUCUAGCGUGUCCCACGCUUCUUUCGACGUAGUCGAACCGGCAAUCUUUUCGAAGCCUGAUUCAUCAACAACACCUAAAAACAGCAAUGUCAUACAGUGGCCAUUUUAAUCUUACAGAUCGUGCGUCUCGUAUCAAACAAGAGCCUUGUUUUGAGUGGCCAGUAUAUCCCUCAACAUCUGUUGGAGUUCUUCAAAACCCAUCUUUGGCACUCCCAAAACGCGAUCUAAGAAGAAUCACGAGAAAGAAGCUUGUCAUUUGGAUACUCCAGUAUUUCGAUAAUUUAACUAUUGUUAGCCGUAGGCAACAGGCAUUUGAAUUCAUCAUGUUUAGGCCCAUCAGACUCUGAAUGCCAAUUUGAACGAAGAAACGACGAUAUUUUUUAUAAACUUCUGUUUCAUAUUGAAUACAUAUUAUUGGUUCCUUUAUACAGGAACUCAGAAAACUUUUGUUUAUUCUAGGAAACAUAAUAACUAGUAAAUACUAUUAAUUUGCCCACUGUCUCUUGACCUUCCAAAUCUCUCCAUUAACUUAUUAAUAAAACCUAUUAAUUAUGACAUUAAAGUUUAUUCAACAUUUAUAUCUAAAUGAUUAUCUUGAAUUCCUUAAAAAUGAUAAGUUACAUGGGAAUUUCUAUUGUUAAUCAUAUCAAUCAACUUGUUUCUUUACUAGCGGUUGCAAGAGAAACCAUUUCUAAUUUUAUAGAGGAUAAAGCAAGAAUCAUUUGUUUCUUACACAUCGAAGAAAUGUCUCCUUAACUAUGCUAAAUAUGUAAGUUAUAGAAUAUUUGGAGUCACAUGACUAGGUGUUCAAAUUAACAUCACAGAAACAAUUAAGAAUAAUUAAGAAUAUAAUAUGAGGUUCAUGUUCCAUUUUAAUUAUCUCAUGGCUCAUUCAAUGAGUAUGUUAAUGCUCUAUACUAUGUUUAUUAGUAAACUUGCACAACAAUUAUAUGAUAUAGACAAUGUAAUUCUAGUACUACCGUUGCCAUACUUGAUGGGGGCAAUAAUGCUAACAUAUUCAAAUUGUCUUACGUUCUUCCACCAUCUUAGUAACAUGUAUGGUUCUUGCACAAUAGCCAGGCCCAGCCUUAGCGAGUAUGCAAUGACAACUACCACCACAGUCUGGCUCGGAUCGGGAACAAGGCCAUCCAAAACAACUAUAUGCUUCUACCUCUUCAUGGGAAACAUCAACAACACUACAAUGGUGAUGGCAAACUUAAUUUUAAAAUAUAAUUAAUAUAUACACAUGGCAAUGCAUUACUUUAAUUAUAAACGUUAAAAACAUUCUUUGUUCUCUUAUUUAUUUACUUGAGACUUAUAGUAAAGAUUGAAGACAUACAUAAUGUGGCAAGCAAGAAGAGAGGCAAAAGAAAGAUCUUAGCAUAAACCAUAAUGCUUGAAUGAAUUGAAAGAACUAUGUUAUGUUAUGUUGUGUUGCAUUAGUUCAUUCUUACAUGUUGUAGUUUAUAGGUAAAUCUUGUGUUUCCUGCCAUAUUUUUUGGGAUUGGAUAGAUAUUUCUAACAUUUGUAAAGUUCAACCUCACCUGCUAAUGCGUUUUCAUUGUUUUUACAGGGAAUCUUUUAAUAAGUAAUUUGAUAGUAACAUAACAUUCACUUGCCAACAAUUAGUCCAUUAUUUUCUUCCUUAGAUGUACGAAUGAUAAUGUUGGUCCCUUUUUUGAACGGGUAGAUAAUGUUUGCGUAUAGUUAUUGAAGCAAGAAACACGAGCUUAUUAAAAUAUGAUAUUAGUUUACGAAAAGUUUGGAUGACACUCACAUGAGGUGUAAAUUGUUAGUGAUGUAUCUUGUCGCGCAGUAAAAAACAAAGAGUCGCCAUCAGAUUUUAUAUAUUUCAAAAGAAAGAGAAAAUAACGAUAAAACCCCAAGAGAAUGGUCUUCGCAACCAAGAGCGGAUUCAGAAGUCGGUUAUGCAAGGAGGAUGUAUUAGCACCUCUCACAUCUGUUGUACUCAACCGAUAUGCUUGUUCUUCAUGCGUAUGAAUGUUGUUAUCUAAGUGUUACAUGCUAUCGGUUAAUGGAGAGAAUAAGUGUGAAAACAAAAAUAAUUAUGAAUGUGUUCGCCAAGGUUUCGAACUCUUGUGCCUACGUAUCCUCAUCGUGCAAUAAGAAAGUCAGAGCUCCCUAGUCCGGUCACAAAAUAAAAUACUUGUUGUUUGUUUUUAGUGGACAAUGUUAACGUCCGCGUUCUAGUGGUUAACUUUGCUUGUAUGCUCACGUCAUGGGAGGCUUAAAUGUUAGUUUGUUUGCGGUAGAAUGGAUGCGCUUGGAUCAUAUUCUAGUAGUUAAAAAUUACUUGUGUGGUCACGCAUUUGAGGCUUAAGCUUCGUUCACGAUAGAACGGAAGUAACACGCCCUUUGAGAAAAGGUUUUGAAAGCCCUAUGGCAAAAAUUGGAUCUGAUGAGUUGUGGUUGAUUUUAGUACGGAGACAAGUAUCAGACCACAGGCUAGAUAUGACCGACAAUCUGAAUACUUGAAAGUUGAGAGGAUAAUUGCAUCCUAACCCCUCUUUUUCAUCCAAAAGAGUUUUGAUUAUGAAAUUUGUUUGGCGAGUUUAAUCAUUGGUACUUAGAGGGAGACAAGUAUCUAACUCUUGGCUAAGUACGACCAACAAUCAGAAUACUCGGAAGUUAAGAGGAUAGUGGCAUCCUAACCACUCUUUUUCUCUCUCGGAGCACCAGAUUGAACUUGAUUUAUUGUUAAGUGUUUUGAAUAGGAAGUCAAGCAAUCAGAACAUAAGCUAAGUACGGCCGACAACCCAAGUACUUGAGUGUUGUGCACAAGUACGUACACUCCGCUUUUGCGUUCCAGCUUAUUGAGAAAAGAUUUUGAAAAAGGUACUUGAUGUUGGAUCAAGCAUUUGAGAUUUAUUGUGAAAAUGUGUGUGAAGAAAGAGAUAGAGAUAAAGAUAUGUAUAGAAUUGGGAAUGAGAUAAUGGAAUGGAUAAUGAUGAUGAGAUACUUGGUGUUGGAUCAAGUACUUGCGUUUCUUUGAAUUGAAUUUGAUUUGGAAAACACUUGACGUUGGAUCAAGUGUGUUUUUUGUCUUUUGAAAAAGAUCUUUUUAUCGUUUGAUUUUAUCUCUUUAGUUAGCAUUCAAUGAAAAGCAUUAAAGGAAAUUAAACCUAAGCUAUUACAUGAUGGAAAUGGGAGACAUAUGACCCAAAAUGGGGGGAUGAUGCCAAACAACACAAGGAAUUAAAAUGGAAUCAUACAAGUUGCAAACUAAAUACCAUGCCUAAAACAAACAAGUGGUCAUGGCAUCUUUGAAUGUAAACACACAAUACAAGACAAAUGAAAAAAUGCAACACAUGAUAAUAAUGAAAACACAUUACGAAUUAACUUGAAGUCAAAUGAUCAAAGUAAACACACAAGAAAAAUGGAAUUAACAUGGUUCAAAGUUGAUAGAAACAUGCAUCAAAAGUAAACACAUGGAAUGACAUUAUUCAAUCAAAAGGAAAUGGAUUCAAAAUGGAUGAAAAUUAACCACAUAAACAAGAUGACAAAUGACAUACACAAGACAUACAUCAAGAUAAAUUAAAAUGACAUUUUCAACUUAACAAGAAUCACAAUCUAAUGCACAUUAAUGAACGUUAAACAAAUGAUCAAAUGGGAAACUAUCUUGCAUAGUAUACAAAUAUGAAUCAAACUAACAGGGUGAAUUAACAUGAAUCAUCAAACAAUACUACAUUUUAAACCUAAUCUAUACCUAGGCUAAACAUUAUCAUAGUAAUUACAAGGCAAUUCAAGGUCAACAUGGUAAUGGAGAUGGCAAUUAAGAGUGACAAAAAAAUCAACAAUUAAAAGUAAUUAAAACAAUUCAAACCUAAUGAAAUUAAACUAAACAUGGCCAAAUUUAAUCAAUUUUUAUAUCACAAAAUAUGUCAAAAUAUGAUAGAAAAUACUAUGGAAAAAUAUUAAAAAGAAAUAUCAUAAAAAAAGAUAUAAGAAACAAGCAAGAAAGAGGGGGUUCAAUGUGAAAAUAGGGCGCAAAAGCGAUGGUCACGGAAAAAAUGAUUCGAACAGAGUCGCUACCGAACUUUAUUUUAUUACAAAGAAGGAAAGAAAAAAUAUUGAUAAAACCCUUACAGAAAAACAAAAAAUGGUCGUCGCAACCAAUUUCGGGUUCGGGAGUCGGUUAGGUAAGGGGAAUGUAUAAGCACUCUUCACGUCCAUUGUCCUCAACGGGAACCUUUCAGUUAAAACUAGCGAUUGAAUGUUGGCUUGUGAUAAUUGUUUUCUUCGAAUUAUUGAUAAAUGUAAAAGAAAAUAAAGGGGUCGCAAAAAGGUUUUCAUUAGGGUGCUUGACAAGAUUGCGAGUCUUGCUCCUACGUAUCCUCAAGUACAAUGAGGAAUUCAAAGCUACGUAGUUCUGGGCAAGACAAAAUAUAGUUUUGGUGUUUUUGUUAUAGUGCUUGACAAAAUUAUGAAUCUCGCUCCUACAUAUCUCCAGGUCCGAUGGAUAACUCAAAGCUACGUAGUUCUUGGUAGCCAAGAGUUUUGGUUGAUUGAUUUUAAUGGAAGAAUGUUUAGGUCGUAUUCUAACGGUUAAAAAUUGGCUUAAUUGCUCGCGGAUUGGAGACUUAGCAUUCGUUUGUUUUGCGGUAGAAGGGAUCCUAGUUGAUCGCAUAGUAGCAGUUUAAAUAUUUAGAUGUAUGCUCACGCACAUGUUUAGAUCGCAUUCUAAUGGUAAAACAAGACUUGCUUACUCGCGGCAGAAGCUUAAGCAUUUGUUUGUAUGCUUUAGAAGGGAUUAGACAAAUAUUAUCUUGUGAAAGGUUUUCAAUCGCACGGGGGCAAGAGGAUAAGGUUUUGAUGUGAUGUGUGUUUUUUAAGGUGAAUGACGAAUGUUUGAUGAGAACGAGACGUGAGCCUCGGGACCAAUUAUUCGGGGAAUUACCGAAAUGUUGGACUCCAACAAUACCUUUUUCAUUCAAUGUAUUUAUGAAAUUGUUUGAUGGACAAUGAACAUUCAAAAGAUUAUUCAAAGGCUUCACCUGAAUGCUAUACUACAAUGACUCAUCCUUUCGUCAAAGUUUAGAUGUUAAGUAACGCGAGACUCCAAGGACCCACUUUUUCUUAUUUGAUUAAGAAAAGAAUUUUAAUGUUAUGCUUGAACGGGAAAAAUUUAAUUCGCAUCAAUACAAAAUUAAUCGAGGGAAAAGAGUUUGAAAAAUUCACUUACCGUUGGACCAAAGAUUUUUAAACUAGAAAAUAUAUUUAUCAUCAUUAUAAACAUUCAUUCAAUUUAAUUAUUUAAUUAAACAAAUUAACAAAUAAUAAUAAUAAAAGUAUAAUUCUAAGUGAGGCAAAAAAGAUAUGUGAAAGUGCAUAAGGCAUAAGAGAUAUGAUGGAGCAAAUGAUAUAUUAAACAAGUAAUUAAAUUAAUUAACUAAACUUAAUUUGAACUAAUUACUUAGGUUAAUUAUAAUUAAAUAUUUUUAUUAAUCAAUUGAAAAAUAUCUAAUUAUUAAUUAUAAUGAUUAAGGCUAAUUAACCUAUUUAAUUAGUUAAAAUAAAUUUUAAUUAAUUAAUUAUUCAUAAUAAUAAUAAUAAUAAAAAGAAAAUAAAUAUUAUAAAAAUGAAGAAAAAACAAUGAACAAAAUAAACAAAGUGCAAGAGAAAUAAAGGAGAGAUAAGACAAAGUAAACAAAAAGGUAGUGGCCUAAGACUCAAUUAAACUAAACAUAAAGAAAUAAAAAAGAUGAUAAAAGAAAAAAAAAAGGGUUGGGAAAACCUCUAUUUUGUCCACACAUUCAGCGCCACAUGACCGCGUAUGAUGAAAGGGAAAAAAUAGGACGUGUUGUCUAGAUUAAAUCAGGGUUUAUUCAAGAACAACAACAACAUUCAUCCCUCUUUUGGCCAUAACUUACUCAAUGUUUUAUGAAAUUAAGCAAAUUAAUAAUGAAAGUCCAUAUACUAAAAUGAAAAAAUGCUCAGAAUUAAAAAAUAUGUCAUGAAAAAAAAACUAAAAUGAAAUCUCAUUUAAUCACUUUUGCUCUUGGAGGUUCAAGAACAUUUUAAACUCUUGAUUUUGAAUCAAUAGAGUUUCCAUGUAAAAUGGUAUUGAUUAGAUACUAAUUAAGUGUAACAAGAAUAAUAAUGCAAGAAAAAUUAAAUAAACGAAAAUUAAUUCGUAUUUAAUCGUUUUUGUUCAUGGAGGUUCAAGAACACUUUAAACUCUUGAUUUUGAAUCAAUGGAGUUUCCAUCCAAAAUUGUGAUGAUUAAGGUACUAAAUAAAUGAAGAAAAAAUAAAAAUGCAAUAGAAUAAAAAAAAUGACAAGCAUAAGAGCCUACUUAAAAAAUCAAUAAAGAAAUAAAGAAAUAACUUGAAGAAAAAUGAAGAGAGUUUUGGCUUAGUUAUUGUGAAUGAUUGGUGGUGUCAUUUGUGAAUGAAAUGAGGUUUAUUUAUAGGUUUUAGAAAUGAUAGUUUAUGAAUUAUGCAAAGGGUGUGAGUGCCUUCUAGAAACAUUGAUUUUUGUUUUAUGAUGCAUGAAAAAGAUUAAUAAAAUUCAAAUGGAUAUUUUGAUAAUAAAUCAAAUGAUCAUGAAUUUAUUUUUUAAAAUGCAUAAUAAAAAAUACAAUUUUAGUCAAUUUCUUCAACAUGUAAAAUAUUAAUUUUAUGCUGACUUUUUUACUAUAAUGCAUAUAUGUACGAUUAUGGUGACUUUAUUUGAUGAUAAAAAUGCAUAUGGAUAAAAAUAAAAAACUUGAUAAAUGGACAUGUAUCAGAUGAAUUUAAAAUACCCAGACAAAAUUAGGGUAUGAUAAGGGUGUUUCGCUACUGACUUGUAUCGCCCCUAGCUCGUAAGGCGAGCAUGACAGCACAAAGUUUUUGUUUGCGGCUCAAAUAUCCGUAACUUGAGUUCUGGGACUCGAAUUGAGACGCGGUUCGAAGAGUUGGAAAGCUAACGCAAUUUACCAUUAAAUGGAAUAGCUUCUGUGGCUAAUUGUGUUGUGAUAACAUGAAUAAUGGAUGAUAUUUGUGCAUAGUUGUUGAUGUUAUCUUGUGAUGAUGUUAUGAUGCUGAGAAUAUUAAUUACAAUUGGUUAACAAUGUAAGUGUUUAAUAUUGACGAUGUUGUUACAGUGGUGUUGUUAUAAUAGCAUUGUAUGGAACAUGCUUAUAUGUGUCUAUAAGGAAUUGUUGAGCAUGAAUAAUUAUGGUGAUUAUUAAAGAUGUUGCAUAUUUAAUUAUAAAUAUGCUAUGUUUAUGUUGAUUAUGUUGUUGGUGGCAUACAUGGUUAGAAGAGGGGCCAAUGUGUAUGUGUUGUUGUUGCAUGCUAAGAGUCCAUGCAUUCAUGUUGUCGGAACUUUGGUUCUUUUUGGUGACCCUCGAUCUUAUGGUGAUAGAUCGGGUGCGAGUAGCUAAUUCCUAUUAUGGAGGAUUAGUGAAGCGUUACCUAUGUUGAUGGUAGAGAUUUGGUGUGCUCCGGUUACAAGAGGGAAUCUGAUUCUAUGGUGGGGAUCGGGGAGCAAAAUGAACCCGAAUGUUCAUAUUUGGUACCACAUGCAUGAAAAGUCAGUGUUGAGUACAUUACAUAAGUGUUGCAUUUGUAUUGUUUGUUGAUGUGUUAUUGGAUAAGAAUACUUAAUAUGUUGGUGUUGAUUGAGUAAUGUGUACGUUGUUGUUAUGUGAUAAUCUACUCCUGCUUGUUUUCACCGUUAAUUAUUGAAGUGUAUUUUCACUCCUUUUGUUUGAAUAUUGCCUUUACAUGGAUAUGGUGCAGAUAUUCAAGAGUAGCAUUGUUGAAAAGGUAAGUGUAAGAUAACUCUUGGAGUGGCUUCUAUUAGUUUGUCAUUUUAUUCGUAGGUUUUGGCUCUGAUCAUGUAACAUUAGGCUGUAAACAUUUGCUUUCACUUGUUUUAUCUUGUUAAAGUUAUUAUUUAUAUUUUGUUGAGAUCUCAAAGUUGUUGUGAGUUGAAUAAUAUAACUUUUUUGGUUGGUUAUGAAGGCUGAGGUUUAUGAGACUAAAUGUCAUGAGUUGCAAUAUUGUGUUUAUUUGAUUUAAUAAUGAUUCCGCUGCAAUGAUACCCUAAGUGAAGGUGAGCUAGCGAUGACAGGUUCUAAAAUUGUUAUGUUAUAACCCAUGUUACGAAGCAACCUAUGUUUGAUUGUGUGUGACACUAUGAAUGAUUGCAUUUUGUUUAAUUAAAUUUUAUAUUAAAUUGUAUGCGGAGUUUAUGGUGUUACAAACACUAUCUUCACCAGGUUGAUCUCUUUACCUCUUAAGUAUUUCACUUGUCGAUCAUCAAUUCUCAACAGUGAUGCCUCUACAAUCAAGUUAUCCCUCACUUGCAUAUCAUCCAUUUGAAUCGUAUGAGACAGACCAGGAACAUUCUUCCAAAGUUGAGACACGUGAAACACAUUAUAAAGAUUCGAAAGAGACGGAAGCAAGGUAACUUUAUAGACCACUUCUCAUACCUUCUUUAAAAUAUGAUAAGUAAUAAUGAAACGAGGCGAGAUCUUUCAAGAAUUCAACACACGACCAACUCAAGUCACUAGAGUCACUCACAAGAACACAUGAUCUCCUUCUCGGAUUUCAAGUGCUUUCCUACGCUUAUCAUGAUAAAUCUUAUGUCUUAUCUGCGGUACUUUCAUCUUCUCUUGAAUCAUCUUGAUCUUCUCAAUUGUCUCUCGAACGAUUCCUGGCCCAAACACAUCACUAUCAUAGGAAUCAUACAAACACAGAGGUUUCCAAUACUAGAAUGAAAAUUAUUGUUUUAAGUAAUCUUGAUCAAUGGCAAGUAAUUGUCUCAGUUACCUCCCUAUUCCAAAACACAAGCUCUCAACAAUUCCUCUAAAGAUUGGAUAGUCCUCUAUAUCUGACCGUCUAUUUACGGAUGAUAAGUAGAACUCAACCUCAAUAUAAUUUCCAAGACUUCGUGUAUACAUAUAUAUUAUGAACAAAAUAAAGCCAUUUUUAAUACACCAAGAAGAAGGAAACCUUUUCAAACUAGCAAGGACUCCGAUUCCAGUGCAAAACGCGACACUAACGGCGAGAACAAGUUGAUUUAAAGAUGGUUGGUUCCGGUUCCCGUGGCAAACCGGCAGUAAUGGCGAGAACAAGCAUUUUACGUAGGGAUGAAAUUGAUGGUUUCAAUUCCGGUGGCAAAGGCGACAUCAACGGCGAGAACAAGCUUUUACAUUCUUUGUAUUUUAGAAGAUGGAUGGUUUCUCUUUUGGAAGACACUACACUGAAGCUAAAACAUAUAUAGAUUCCAUAACUUGCAAAGUAAAAACAUAUAUAACAAAGUACAUAGUCCACACACAUGCAUACAUUAUUUAUGAAUCGAAGUGUCUAAGAAAUCCAAACUUAGUUGGAAAUAAAGACAUGCAUAGCAAUUUUAUUUAACUACAAAGAUCAUGCAUGCAUGGUUUUUCUUGUACAUAUUAAGCAGAAACUUCUAAAGGCAUUUUCAAGUUAGAGAAUUCAGAGUAAAAGCAUCCUUGAAUGAGACUUCUGCAUCAGAGUUAGAGUCAAAACACCAGCCAUAUUUAAGCUCCGAAUUCGGAUAACGAGCGCAGAAGCUCCCACUACCCUUUCUUGUGCAGUCUGCAUGAGACUCACAUAGGUCAGGAUGUUCUUCCACCUUCUUUGCAACAUGUUUGUUUCUUACGCAAACACCACCCUCCGCACCCUUAGAAAGUAUACAAUGACAACCAUCAUUACACACUGGGUCAGAUCUGGAACAAGCAAAUUUCUCACAAAGAUCUGCUUCUACCUUCUUCAUGGGAAACAUCAUCACUACAAAUGAUGAUGACAAUUGACAAAGUUAACUUCAAAAUAUAAUCAAUAUAUACAUAAUAGAGACACAUGGAAAUGCAUUAUCUCAAUUAUAAACCUUAAAAACAUUCUUUUUAACAUUAAUUCUCUUGUAUGGAUCUUAAACUUUAAAAGUAACCUUCAUUAAGUAGUAAAGAUAGAAGACAUACAUAACGUGGCAAGCAAGAGAAAAGGCAAAAGAGAGAGCUUAGCAUAAGCCAUGCUUGAAUGGAUUGAAAGAAGUAUCUAUUGGUUUGGUGUUAGGUUGUGUUGUGUGUUGCAUUAAUUCAUUCGUAUAUGUUGUAAUUUAUAGACAAAUCUUGUGUGUCCUGCCACAUUUUCCACACAUGUUUUUUCUAACAGUGUAAAGUUAAGCCUGCCGACAUAGUUUAUUAAUUUGAUAAUUCGGUCAGUAGCUUCCACGUCACCUGCUAAUGUGUUUUGAUUAUCUUCUUCUGCCAUAGAUAUACAAUGAUAAUAAAGUACUAAUUGUUAUUGAAGCAACAAACACGAGCUUAUUAAAAUAUGAUAUUAAAAUGUGAUAUUAAAGUACUAAUAGCCGUUGAUAAUACUAAAAUAAAACACUCUUGGCACUUGCAUUUUAUUACUUUGAAUUUCUCAUUCUUGUUAUAUUCUCUGUUGUUUUAGAGAUGUAUGUUUUGUUUAAUGGAUGAUAUAUUCUUUCCAAACUUAGUUAUUUCUUGAAAUAAUGAGGGAUUCCUGCUAUAUAUUGAAACUUCGUCUAUUUCUAAUCUUACAUAAGUAUUUUAAAUUAAGGUUAGUGGUACUGUAAAUCACAUAAUCAUCGCUCCUAAAUAAACAUGGUUUGAUAUCUAGAAAGUUAAAGAAUUAACAUAGUUCUUUCGUAGCUGUCAAUUUCUCAUUGAGAAAUUUUCUUGACAUUUGCCUUAUAAUAGGAUGAUGUCAUUUUUAGUCCUUUAGUUUUUCAUAUAUACUUUGGACCUUGACUUUUAAGUCCUCUUAUAUUGAAUUUUGCAUAAAAAUGUGAGUGAUUUUUUAUCUUCAAUUCUAAGGGUUUUAUCUUCAAUUCUCAAGGAAGUGAGAAGUUGUUUCAACAAGUCUCAGAUAGCUUCAAACUUUGUUUUUUAUGUACUCUUUGUUUUGUAAAUGGAAUUGCAUGACCAACUUGCUACUAGAUAAUGGCAUGACCUUUUGUAAAGGUUACAAACAUUUCUAACGUGUUAAUUUGGAGAAAAACAUUAAACUAUUUCAUUUGAACUCAACAGCAUGAUGAAUUAUAUAAACAAUAUGUGAUUGUCUAAUCUAUUUCUCUUUACAAUUAAGGGAUGUGAAGUUUCUUAAAUAUAUACAUAUAUUUUAAGAAUGCAAAAGCUUAUUACGUUGUCUAGCUAUCUUUAAAUUUUAUAUGUUACAGUACCCAUCCUUCUAAAACUUUUGGAAACUAAAACAAACGUAGUGUAUAAUAUACCAAAAUGAGGAAUCCCUUGAAGAAGAAGAAGAUGAUGAAACAAAAGAAGAAAAAGAUGGUGAUGAUGAUGAUGAUUCUAGCUCGAAGAAUUGAUCUUUCUUCUCUUUUCCAAGAUUCUCAAAAUCUUCAAGACCCUCCUUCCAAUUUCUUCUUUAUCACCUUUCCCUAGUAUUCCUCCAAAAUCUCUAAAUAUUUUCCAUGCACCCCCUACUAUGUUUUAUCCUCCAAAUUUUCCAUUGAAUUUGUGGAGAUGGACAUUACAUACAAGCAAGGGUAGCUCACAUACAAGCUCAUCUCCAAUGGAUUUCCUCUCCAUUCCUGGUAUUACUUUAUCCUAUUGAACAUUUUCAUUCAUUAAAUAAUCUCCCUAGUUCAAUAUAACAUUUUGUUUUGUUCAACAACAAUACUUCUCAACCAGAUAGCUAUCAAAAAGCAAGCAAAUACGAUUGUUGAUUCAAGGAAAUGAAUUCUAAACUAGAUGCUUGGGAACACAACAAAACUAGGAUUUUAUCCUCCACCAAACAUCAAACCUAUUGGUAGAAUAUGGGUCUAUUAGGUGAAGUACAAAGUAGGUGGAACUAUAUAGAGAUAUAAGGCAAGACUAGUAGCCAAAUGCUAUUAUCAAGUAAAAGGGCUUGACUUCUUUGAUCCAUGAAAAAAAAUAACCGUUGUAACGACAUUACUUGCAUUGGCUUUUAUAAAGUCAUGGCAUUUGUAUCAAAUAGAUGUAAACAAUGCAUUUUUGCAUGGAGAAUUUACAUGAAUAUGUGUAUAUGUCAGUGUCGCACGGUGUUAAUAGUCCAAAGCCAAAUAAAUAUGCACAUUGUUGAAAUCUCUCUAUGGUUUAAGACGGGCAAGCAGAAAAUGGUAUGAAAAGUUGCUAACGACAUAUGACAGGAGAAAAACAUGUGUUACAAACCCUAACUCUGAAAGAGGGAUGAAUUGUGGGAUUUGAAGGAAAGCAGAAAGAAAAAAUCACUGGUAUGACUUGUAAGACCCUAAUUUUGUCCCUAAGAUCCCUCAUGGCAUCAUAAUAUUGCAUUGCAUAGUCUCAAGGAUCAUUGAGCAUCUUGGCUUCCUUUCCCUUUGGGUAGGGAUCUCUUGUGAGUGGUUUGAGAUCACCAAGCAUGCUUGAAUUGUAUAUCAUUGCUUUUCUUGUUUUAUUUACUAACCAAAAGCACAAAAAUAUGUCACUAACAUCUUUUAUUUGUAGCUUAAGCAAUCACCAGGUCAAGAGCUUCAAGAAGAUCCUUUGUGCAAGAGAUGAGGUAUUUUCUUGGGAUGAGGAUCACAUGAUUAUUAUAAGGAGCAUUGGGUAGGGAUCUCUUGUGAGUGGUUUGAGAUCACCAAGCAUGCUUGAAUUGUAUAUCAUUGCUUUUCUUGUUUUAUUUACUAACCAAAAGCACAAAAAUAUGUCACUAACAUCUUUUGUUUGUAGUUUAAGCAAUCACCAGCUCAAGAGCUUCAAGAAGAUCCUUUGUGCAAGAGAUGAGGUAUUUUCUUGGGAUGAGGAUCACAUGAUUAUUAUAAGGAGCUUACAUGAACUAGGGUUUUAUUUUGAAGUAAUUUCACCAAGUGGUAGAGACUCAAGUUAAUCAAGUCAUUUCAAGGUCAUCUGAGGACCAAAAGUCAACUGUGCAGUCAACUGAGGGCUAUGAGGUGGGUAAAUAAGUUGAGACACCUCAAUCAUGUUCAAAUGGGAUUCAUUCAUUAUUUUAAACAUCCAUCUUGAAGAUUCAAAGGUCAUGGCAAAAGUUACUAAAAAUGGAAAAUGACCUAUAAUUCAAAGUUUCCAAAUUUGGCAAGUUUUUGGUCCACUUUCAACUUGACUUGUCAAUGUCAAAUAACAUCCAUCUUGAAGAUUCAAAGGUCAUGGCAAAAGUUACUAAAAAUGGAAAAUGACCUAUAAUUCAAAGUUUCCAAAUUUGGCAAGUUUUUGGUCCACUUUCAACUUGACUUGUCAAUGUCAAAGAAAUUUUAAAUGGAUUUUUGGUGAACAUGAAAGUUGUAGAUCUUUGUCUCCCCUUUCUAAAAAGUCCUAAUUCAUGUCCAUAUGAUGAAUGGUUAAGAAAUUAUGGUCAUUUGAUCACAAGGUGUGCAUGGAAAUUCAAAAUGGCAUAACUUUUGAUGUAAUGCUCCAAAUUGGUUCAUUCUUUUUGCGAAGUGCUUCUCAUGUUCAAGGCAUCUCAAAAUGACCUCAUUUGGCUCAAUUAUGCAAAGGAAUCAUGGUCAAAUGUUCAUUAUUUCACACAUGUGCAAAUUGAGGAAAAUAUUCAACAUUCAUUUUUGGCUUAAGUUGCAAACAAACAAAUCUUCAAAUCAUGACCAUUGGAUGUUUUUAAGUGGAUUAAUGCCUUAACAUGAGGAUGGGCACGUGUAUUAUGGCAAGGAGAGCUUAAUGUGCAUUUUUGCAAGAUGCUUCAAUACUCACUAAUCAUGAUUAGUACAUGGAAAAGGUGAUUAGCAUGAUCAUUAGCAUGAAGUAUAAAAGACCAAACCCUAAUCAUAAUUGCAAAAACAGAACCAUUUCAGAUCAAAAUCAAGAACUCUCUCAAAAUUUCUCUCUCUUCGAAUCUUCAUUUUCUCCACAUAAUUCUCAAAGAUUAUUGGAUAUUCUUGAUCCUCAUCCUUCAUUGAUCAAGAAUCAUCAUCUGUUUGGAGCAAUUCAGCCAGAAAUCGUGCAGUUCAUGUGCAUUAUCAUGUUGAUGGAAAUUGGAAAUUGAGGUGAAUUCAAGUGGUUUCAACCAUUGUUUCUUGCUUAAAGCUUCAUAGGAGGUGCAUAGGAGUUGAUCUGGAGCAUUGGAGCUCUUGAGAACGCGUGAACAGAAACCUCCAUUCCAAGGUGACCCAAAAUUCACUCUCUCUUUUUGCUGUUUUUUGGACAUAGAUGUGUAGAUCUUGGUGAGUAGAGCAUGUACAUAUGUUUAGAUUUGAAAUUGAGUAAGAAUUGAGGAAGUUAGAUGAACUGAAAGUUUGGAUCUAGAAAAUGUUUCUCUUCGAUCUGAAAAAUCUAGAAGGGAUUAGGAAGAAUGGAUAGCAUAUUUGGAAUCCUCAUUGAAAACUGAGUUGAUUGAUGUAUGCCAUGUAGUCUGAAGUCCUGUCACCUUUUUAGCAGGAAUUUUGCUGGCAAGUCCUCCUUCAGAGGCUCUGUUUGUGUUUGUUUAAAAUUGUGCUCAAAGACCUCCAAGAAGAGGCAUGUGUUAUUUGUUAAGACCUCCAAGAGAAGAGGCAAUUGACGGAUAAAAGGCAAGUCCUCCUUCAGAGGCUCUGUUUGUGUUUGUUUAAAAUUGUGCUCAAAGACCUCCAAGAAGAGGCAUGUGUUAUUUGUUAAGACCUCCAAGAGAAGAGGCAAUUGACGGAUAAAAGGGAUUAUUAGCCAAUCCCCCGUUAUUCAGUGUGUCGUUCUUUAUGCUCGCACUACGUGCUGAUGCUUCUGAACAUGUGCUCCAGAUCUUUGUCCAGUGUCUGUCAAGUGGAAUAGGAUCUCACUUUCUGGAUCCCCACGCUUUCUUUGUCAUGAGCUCACCCUGGCCAGGGUUAAGAGCCUGAGGUCUCAUCCUCAUUACCAUUUGAUCAGCUUCACCCUAACGUUCAAUGUUAGUGGUUAAGAGCUACAGAUUACCCUUUACAGUUUGGCUUGUUUGUCGAGGUUGACAUGACCCCUCUUGACUAAAGCCCACCCCAUUGUUUGAGCCUCUUGUAUGGAUAUAGUGUGUGAUGUUUGUUUACUUGUGGAACUUUUCUACACACACGAGAACAACUAGGAGUUUCCAUUUGAGCUUAAUUGAAGGAUCAUUACCAUGUUUAUCCAAGUGGAAGAUACAAGAUACAUUGAGGAUCUCUUAUGAGACUUGUUUGAUUGCUUAUACCUUAUGCUUGCUUAUUCCAAAGGAUGGGAACUACUUGGAUCAUCAAUAUGAUCUCAAGAGAGGAACUCCUAGUGUGGUUUCAUUCCUUAUCCCUCACUUUUUUGUUUCUUAGGACUCUCCACCCUAACCCAAGCCAAAACUUUUUGUGCAAACAUUUGACUAUUGUUUUCAACAUUAGAAACCUAAGCCUUAUGCUUUUGAUUUUCAAACUUUCUUUUCAUAAUACUCAUUUUGAAUUGAAUCUUUUAAGUCAACAUUGACCAUUUUGUAUAUACUUCUAAUUGGUAAAUAUAACCCAUUCAAAUGCUUUUGUGGUUUCAAUAACCACUUCUUAAUCAAUUUUUUAAUAACCUUUAGCUAUUAGGUUUGAGUUAUCCUUGUGGUAGAUGUAAUACUCACCUUUGUCCUUAGUGAUGGACAAUGAGCCUUCCAUGCUUAUUAUAGGGUUAACCCCUCACUAGCAUGUUGAAGUUAUCCUCACAUGGUGAACUUGUAGUUUUAGGUUGAGUUUUCUCCCUUUGAUAACAAAAGACCUUAAGGCUUUUGGACCAAUCAAUUCACCAAUUUGUUUUGAGAUUUUUACCCCGAACUACGAGGUUUUGAUCAUAAUCUUUAUAAGAGGGUAUGUAGGCAAUGGGUUUAUCCAUCCAAACACAAAAUGUAAAUAACUUGUACAUUCUCUUCUCAUCUCUUCAAUCAUGUUUGCACAAAUAAAAUUUUCACAAAACAACAACCUUUGCAACAAGUGUGAAAAUGUGAAAAGGGCUCCCUAGGAGUACCUAGGAUGUUUUGGGUGCCUAACACCUUCCCAUUGCAUAACCAACCCCCUUACCCAGAUCUCUGUUUCUUUUAUUAGUUUUUGUUAAAACUUUUAGGUUUUUAUUCGCUUUCUAACCAUUCCUUUGGAUAAAUAUAAGUGCGGUGGCGACUCGACUUUGUAUGAUUUACCUUGGAUUUAGUCAAUAUCUCCAAUGGUAACGAAUACCCCGCUACAUGACUACUAUUGGUAACUCCUCCAUCUCUAUUGAUAAUGUUUGGUUAGUAGAUGGAUUAAAACAUAACCUACUAAGCAUAAGCCAAUUUUGCGAUAGUGAUUAUGAGUUAUGUUUAAUAAGAACAACUGUAUAGUCAUGAAUGAGUCUGACAUGUCCAUAGUGUUCAAAGUUAGGAGAAAAGACAAUGUUUAUAAAAUUAAUUUCUCUAAAUUGGAUGAUCAAAAGGUACUUUGCCUUCUAUCAUUGAGUGAUGAAAAAUGGUUCUGACACAAAAGGUUAGAACAUACUAACUAGAGAUUAAUCUCUAAACCUAACAAGUUAAAACUUGUCAAAGCUUUUCAAUAACUCAAUUAUCAUUCAGAUGCUCUUUGUGGAGCAUUCCAAGUAUGAAAAAUUAAUAAAACCUCUUUUAAAUCAGAGAAUGUUGUCUCUACCUCCAGACCCUUAGAACUACUUCAUAUUGAUUUAUUUUGUCCAGUUGAUAAUGCAUCAAUCAAUGAGAAGAAAUAUGGAUUAGUCAUAGUUGAUGACUAUAGUAGAUGGACUUGGGUAAUUCAUCAUAACUAAAGAUGAAUCAUAUGAUAUUGUCAACAUCUUCUACAUAAAAGUACAAAUUGAAAAAGAAUCGAAGAUUUUAAAAGUCAAAAGUGAUCAAGGAGGAGAAAUUGACAAUGAGCCAUUUGAAUUUUUUUUAAAACAUGGAACUCUCCUUGAGUUCUAUUCUCCUAGAACUUCAUAGAAAAAAUGGAGUUGUAGAGAGGAAGAACAUGUCUUUACAAGAAAUGGCUAGAAGCAUGAUCCAUGAAAAUUAUUUACCUAAGUACCCUUGAGCAGAAGCUGUAAACAUAUCAUGUUAUGUUCAGAAUAGAAUCUAUAUUAGACUCAUUCUGAACGAAAAUUCAUAUGAGCUUUUAAAGAAGGAAAGCCAAGGAUUUCUUAUUUUCAUCAAUUUUGAUGUACAUGUUACAUCUUGAACAAUAAAGUCUAUCUAAAGAAAUUUCAUGUCAAAGUUCAGAAGAGUAUCUUCUUAUGAUACUAUGAACACUCAAAGCAUACAUGAUGUAUAACUCUGAAAUCAAAAUGAUCGAAGAGUCAAUACACAUAAAUUUUGAUUACAAAGAGCUUGACAAUAAAAUUAAGAUCUAGUUGAAAGUUUUUCAUAUAUUCAUGUAUCUAAAGUCACCUCAGAAGCUAGAUGUCUAGAAGCUGGUGGUACAAAAGUUAAUCCAACUUUUCAAGCUCAUCCACAGAAAGCUGGUUCUGAAGAAGCUCAUGAUAGUUCCCAAGAAUCAACUCAAUCUUGAAAAAAAUUCAGGUACAACUCUUCAGAUCCAGAAGUUAAAAUCAUUGGAAACAAAGAUAUCCUCUAAAGGAAAGAUCUGCAUUCAGAGAAGAACACGUAAUGCUAAGACUUAUCUCUAUGAUUGUACCUACUUUUGUUGAUGAAGCCUUAUCUGAUGAUGGCUGGAUUGUGGUAAUGCAAGAAGAGCUGAACCAGUUUGAAAGGAAUGAUGUUUGAGAUCUGGUACCUAAACCUUAUUAGAAGAACAUCAUUGAAACAAAAUGAGUAUUUAGAAACAAGCUUAAUGAGCAAGCAGAAGUGGUAAGACAUAAAUCUAACUUGUAUCUCAAGGCUAUAGUCAGUAAGAAGGUAUAUAUUUAUUUAAAACCUUUGCGCUUGUUGCAAGGUUAGAUGCAAUCAACUUAGUUCCCUCUUAUGUUAUUAAUCAUAUUAUCAUUUUAUAUUAAAUGGAUGUUAAGAGUGAAUUUUUAAAUGGUGUCAUUUAUUAAGAAGUGUAUAUCAAACAACCACCAGGGUUUGAGGAUUCAGUCCACCCAUAUCAUGUUUUCAAACUUAAGAAAUCACUAUAUGGUAUCAAACAAGCUACUAGUGCUUGGUAUGAAAGACUAAGUAAUUUUAUAUUAGAAAAUGGUUUUCAAAAAGGGCAAGUUGACACUAAACUACUCAGAAAGACUUUGAAAAAUGACAUCUUAAUUGCUCAAGUAUAUGUUGAUGAUAUUAAUUUUGGUUUUACCAAUGUUACUCUUUGCAAAGAGUUUUCUAAGUCAAUGCAAGCUGAGUUUGAAAUGAGUAUGAUGAGAAAGAUAAAGUUUUUCAUUGGAAUUUAAAUCAACCAAUGCAAGGAUGAAGUCUAUGUUCAUCAGUUAAAAUACACAAAGGAGCUUUUGAAGAAAUUCAAGCUAGAUGACUGCAAGAUCAUGACUACUCCAAUGCAUCAAACCUGUAAUCUGAACAAAGAAUAAAGUAGCACCAAAGUGUGUCAGAUGAUGUACUGAGGUAUGAUUGAUUAUUUACUUUACCUAACAACUUCUAGACUAGAUAUUUUAUUCAGUGUAUGUAUGUGUACAAGAUUCCAGUAAGAUCCUAAAGACCCAAUUAGUUGUUGUUAAGAGAAUCUUUAGGUAUCUGAAGGGAACUACUAAUCUAUGACAACUUUAUAAAAAAUCCCUAUAAUACAAGCUUGUUGGAUUUUGUGAUGCUGACUAUGUUGGGGAUAUAAUUGAGAUAAAAUGCACUAGUGGAAACUGUUAAUUCAUAUAUGAAAAUCUAAUUUCCUAGGCUCGUAAAAGACAAGCAACUAUUGCUUUGUCUACAGCAGAAGCAUAAUAUAUUUUAGCUGCUAAGUGUUGCACACAACUUCUCUAGAUGAAAUAUCAGUUAAAACAUUGUCAAAUAAGUGGAAGCAAUAUUCCAAUUUUCUGUGAUAAUAUUGUUGUUAUCUGUUUGACAAAAAAUCCUAUUCAACAUUCAAGAACCAAACACAUUGAAAUUAAACAUUAAUUUAUUAGAGAUUAUAUUCAUAGAGGUAUAAUAGUUAUACAAUUCAUUGGUAUUAAUCAUCAAUGAGCUGGUAUAUUUAUUAAACCUCUAUUUAUAGAAAUAUUUAAUUUUAUUAAAAAGAAUCUGAACAUGCAGUUUGUAAAAGAAUAGUGUUUGCUUCUGAAUGAGGGAUCAUAGUCUAGAUGAUGAAUAGAAGUCACUAUGAUUAGAGUCUGGCUUAGCCUCUAAUGAAUAGUAGCCCCUGUAGAAUCUCAUCCUCUGAUGCUCUGAAUCUGAUUAUUUUCCUCUGGCAACAUUUAAGUGGAAAACCUUUUUAUCUUCUUAGUGACAUCUGCCUCACUUAAAUGAGACAUAUUUAACAAGAUUUAUAAAAAGGGUAUUAGGUAAUGGAUAAUCAAUGUUGGGUAAUGAUGAAAUUGUUUUGAAUACUGUGUCUCGAGUCCAUUUGUCAUUAAUUAUUUUAAUCAAAACACAAAUCUCUUUUCACUAAAAAUACUUAAUCGUUUCAGCUUUCACACACUUCUCACAUUUCACAACCCACACCUUCGUUCUGAAGCUUUUCUCUAAACAAAUAACCUAGUUUUCACAAAACCCUUUAAAACCCUAAAAACUCCACUGCAUUGGAAUCUACAUCUACUUCCCAACAAGCUCCAUUGAUUGUCGAAACAGGAAAGGGAUUCCAUUCCAAUCCUAUAAAGUUAAUUAUGGAACAAAUAAUUGAUUUUAAAUAUUUUGAGGUAAAUGGGUAUCCCUUUAAAGAACACUUUGAAGUUCAAUGAUGGAUGCACUUCUUCGAUAUAAUUGAUGGUCCAACCUAUCCUUAAUUGGUUAAAGAUUUAUGGGUUAGGGUUGAGAUGUAUGAUGAAGUCGAUGUGCUUUUGAAGAAAUAGGGAAGAUUGUUGAAGAUGAAGCUAAUAGAGGAAAGUCAAGAGCUGAGAUGGGUCUGAAAGAGUUUAAAGAAGUAGAUAUCAGAUCAUUCGUAAUUGUCACGCCCCAAUUUUGACCCUGAAUCGCCGAAUCAAUAAGUUUGUCAUAGCUUUUUCAUCUUUGUACAUCAAAGCAUGCAUUUCAUGACGCGUAAUGCCUAAAAUGUUAGUCGAAAUAAAUUUUUGGAUCUACAGACAGAUCGGUCGAACCAAUUUUCAAAUGUGUAUCAAAUUAGCGGGCAAAAAAUUUUAAAACCGAACUUGCAAACAUUAGUGUUAUCAAAGAUGGAAGCGGAACAUGGUGGAUACCACGAGCUCUUAAGACUGAGAUUCGAGAUGUAUAUCUUCCCAAUCCUAGUUGUCGUCAUUCAAAACUUUAAACGCGACUUCUUCAAACCUUUUGUCAAUCAAAUAUCAAAACACCUACAAAUAUCAAACACUUUUGCAAACAAGAUGGAAACGUAACAUGGUGGAUACCAAGAGCUCCUAAGGCUAGGAUUUGAGAUGGAUAUCUCACCCAUCCAAGUUCUCGCCAUCAUUCAAAACACAUUCAAACCAAUCAAACUCUUUUCUCGUUGUCGCGUAAUUGAUCAUCAAACCCUUUUUGUAAUCAAAGGGUACUUUGUCUUGAGAUGACGUAAAAACAAUGUUUCGUCCACUUGAACGUGUGAGUAAGCUUGCGACGUUUCUCACAAAUGUUUAUUUGUAAAUCCAUUCGGCCGUGAUGCAAACUUUUCCUUCUCCAUUUGUUUUGGGUAGCCAACAAUGUGUUCGUUGAUUGACACAAAGUAGAUUUCGAUAAAAUAGACCAACAAAUAAACAUUCUCUACCCAGAACUACGUAAGCCUUGAGUUUUCUAUUGCACCCAGAGAUACGUUGGAGCAGGAUUUGUAAAUCUUGUCAGACACAUUAAUAAAAAAUCCAAAAACUUUUUCCCUUUUCUUUUGUUUGUAUUCUUCUUCCCCUUUUAAUAACCUGAGAAGCCUAACAUUUCUAAGCUAACACUAACACGCACAACUAACCUGAUGGUUCCUGUUGAGUAGAACGGACAUGAGGGGUGCUAAUAUCUUCCCCUUGCAUAAUCGACUCCUGGAUCCUAAUUUGAUUGUGACGACCAAUAUCAUUGUCGACCAAUACAAUAACUAAUGAAAACCAACUACCAGAAAUAUAGCCCAAAACUAGCUAACAAGGAAACAGGAAAUAUCAUAAAUAAAAUCCAUUCUAUGGCACCCUGAUAAACAUAAAAUCGAAUUAAAACUAAAAGUGUCAGUCCCACCAUCAACAGACCAAAGGAUCCCAAGAAACACCAAGACCACAUUGUUCAACUAGAUUAGAUCACUACUCUUAAUCUACUAAAGGUUUAUACAUACAGUAGGAUUCUGAAGGAAGACAGAGAGGGGGGAUGAGUUCAUAUGUGAUAAACUAAUAAACAAGUCAAAAUAAAACUCUUAUCUUCAACAUCUUUCAAGUUUAUUGACGAAUCGGAAAAAACUUAUCAUUACAAACAAACCAAAUGAUCCACACUACUAAAUGUCAAUCAUAGAAAAACCUCCCUUUAACUUAGCCACAUAAUAUAAAGAAAUAAAAAAACUCAAAAAUACACCUAGGUUUCCUACGGAUAACUUACUAGACCUCUAACCACUUAAAAAUCUUAUAUAUGAUACUAGAAUCUAGAUUAGAAGUAACAAAAAGAUGAGAGAUAGACUCAAGUCACCUAUCACUCUCCUCAUUGUUCCAUGUGGACGAAAAAAAGGUCUCCUCCAUAUAAUAUCCCAAGAAAUCUUUAUUGGGUUUGGGCUCCCUUCCUAUAUGGAGAAAGACCCAAAUAUGAUUAUCUCCUUUGUCUCACUUAUUUAAGUGGAGAGAUCAAUUUAGGGUUAAGAGAGAUAGAGAGAAAAAAUGGAUUCAAAAGAGAGAAAAUAUGAGAGAACCCUAUUCCCAUUUUUCAGCAACCAGUCUCCCUAAAUCGAUGAUCCCAUAUUCUUUAACCGUCGAAUAGAGCUUAGAGUUGAAUGGUAGGUUCGCAACACUUGUAUCUAACUUUUGACUAUUCAAAAUUUCAAAACAAGGUUUGAGCCGAGAGAUAUUUGUUUCGCACUGAAGCUACAAAUUUUGGUAAUCUUUUCAACUUUUUUUAUUCUUAUUUGUAAGCUAGUUUGCCUAAUGAUUUGCGGUUGUUAUCAUUAGUUUGUGAAUUACUUUAAGACUCUCUUAUACCCUUAAUUACUUACAGUUGAGUUAUUUCUUUGGUAUGGACAACCCGUGAUUUUUACUCUCAUAUUGAGGGGUUUUUCAAGUUAAAAUAUCGGUAUUCUUUUGUACCUUUAGUUUAAAGAGAUGUUUGUCACAAGUGGUUCCUACUAAAAAGAAUAAGUUAAUCUCUUAUAGCACGCUCCAAUGUUCAUUAAGUACUCACUAAAUGAUUCAAGAAAACAUACAUAUAAUAAUUAGAUUGCAUUACUUGCAAACUAAAACCGUAGAUAACAAUGUUCAUACCCAUUCACAUGCACAUAUUAUUUUUGAAAUCAAAGUGUCCAAGAAAUCCAAACUUAGUUAGAAAUAAAGACAUAUGAAGCAAUUUUAUUGAAGUAAAGAGAUCAUGCAUGAAUGGCUUUUGCUGUACAUAUUAAGUAGAAACUGCUGACGGCAUCUUCAACAAGUUUGAGAACUCUGAGCUAAGAGCAUUCUUGAACGAGGCUUGUGCAUGAGGGUUAGAGUCAAAACACCAACCAUAUUCAAUCUCCGGAUUUCGAAAACGAGCGCAAAAACUCCCACUUCCCUUUUUUGUGCAGUCGGCAUGAGACUCACAUAACUUAGGAUGUUUCUCUACCAUCCUAGUAACAUCUUCAAAUGAUGCUUUUUUGCAGACACCAGCCGUUAAUGAAAUGGGGAUACACUUACAUCCAUCACCACAUCCUUUUGGCUUAUAUAUAACACAAGCAAGUGGACAAACUGCUUCUACCU
rnacentral:lncRNA from 1 species